CCCGAAGAAGCUCUCGAUUGUCUGAGAAAGAAACAGCUAUUCCGGAUCUCUCCUCUUCUGGUCCGUCUGGAUCUUCCCGCAAACGUAUCCGGAAACAACGCCGAAAGAUGACUCCGCCACCGUCUUCUCCGCCUGCUGCAUAUACAUCUACCGACGACGAGGUUGAAGCUUUUCAACUCAAAGAGCCACGCUAUCAAGCAAGCCGUGCGAUCUUCCAAGCACGAAAUCAAGAAAACCCCGAACUACUUCGUUCCCACAUCACUCCGUUCUCGAGUCGUUUUGUCACCAGCAAUUCAGUUGAGAGGUAUGAAAAAUUGGCUUCACGUGAGUUUGUGAUUCAACAGAGGAUCGAUGUGACUGACAAGAACUUGCUCGAUGUGAAACGGGUGGUAGUUAGGUCAGGGUUGAUCUAUACUCUGAUUGAUAGUGACUUGUUUCAUCCAAAUGUUGUGAAAGAGUUUAUUGCCAAUUUGGGUGCGGCUGAGAAUAGAGGAGAUGGUGUUGCUGUGUUUCUUCGUGGGUCUAUGGUUGAAUUCUCGCCUAGCUUGAUUAAUGCUAUGUAUUUGAUCCCUGGCUUUGAAGAAGAUCCUGACUACUUGGCAGUAGACAUUGAUCGAGUGUGCUCGUUCCUGACGGAUAAUCGUGUGCGACGUUCUGAAGCCAUGAGCUCUAAGUAUCUGACCCCGACGAAUCAAGUCCUCUACAAGCUGGUGUGCUCAAAUUGGAUUCCCACCACCAACUACACGUCAAUGAACCAGGAACGACUCAAGUUUCUCUACAUGCUUCAUCAUCACAGGGGCUUUGACUUUGGUCAGAUGGUCUAUGAUCAAAUCAUCAGUUUUGCAGCUAACAUCAGCACUGACAGGUCUCGGAGAGUCAUUUUCCCUACAUUGAUUCAGCAAGUGAUUGACUAUCAACGGACAGUGCUGUCAUUUGAAGAUGAUGAAGAGUAUACCGGGUAUCCUAAGCUGGUGGUAAAAGACAUCAAGGCAGGCAGAGGCCAAGGGGCUAACUCUAGUGCCGCUGAUCUUCUGGCUGAUAUUGAGCGAACCAUAGCUGAUCUUAAAAGCAUUCGGAUUCGCUUGAGGAGUAAGGGAGUAGUACUUGUUGAAAUUCUUAAAUUUUCUGAGUCUCUAACCUUUUGUUUUUAUCUUAAUGUGCAUCUACUCAGGGGGAGAAUAUCCACAGCAUCCUCGUCGGACUCAACAGAAUGAGCAGGAAGAUGAAGUGGAACCGGACAGUGAAGAAAGUGAAAGUUUCUAAUGAGUGAAUCUGUUGUGUUUCAUUCUAUGCACCAUGUACUGAACCUUGAUGUUGCACUUUGCAUCGUACUCUUUUCCUUCUUUGCUUCUGUUUGUGUAUGGAUUUGAAAAACCUUAAUUUCUUAAGGUUGUGGUAUGAUGUUAGACUAAUCCUUAUGGUUGAUAUGGAAAAUAGUCGUGUGGUCUUGUGUGUUGAGCUUUGAUUGCAACAGGUUGAGUAGAUUGUCACAUUCAGAUAAAAAGGGGGAGAAUGUAAGCUCAAGAAUUAUGAGCUUGUUUGGUUUGUGCCUAGACUGUGUUACACUUGGUGAUGAGUGUGUAACAUAGUGCGGUAUAUUUGUUACGACGUGAUGACGUGUUACAAACUGAUGGAAGUAGAAGAUAUUGCUUUGGCGCGAAGCAAGGAAGAUCUUCUGUUGGCGAUAUUUUAGGAAGUAGAAUAUUGCCUUUUCACGUGUAUUUAACAAGUAAACCUAGAAGUGUUUUAGGUUACGCGUUAAGAUAGAAAAAAGCUAGAACAAGAGGUGUGUUCUUGUCAGCUUCGGAAAUCGAGUGAAGGGUAUUCAGCUCGAGUUUCUGUGAUUUAGAGAUUAGAAAUUGGUCCGUCGCUAGUCGUGUGUGACUGAGCAUAAACCGGAUUAAACAGAUCUAGGAGGAUUGUUUAAAAGAUUUCUAAUAUACAAGAAAGUGUUCUUGAGAGAUUUGUGUACGGUUCUAAUUGUAGUGUGUCUGAACUUUCACUUUAUAUAACUGCUCCUUGUUUAUUUCCUACUCUUUCGUUUAUAAGCAUUUCGACCACACUUAUAAAAUAUGAGCUUCUCCUUUGUCUUCAAAGUAAGACAAGAAGAUCAAAAACUAGGUGUAAUAGAUUUUUGCAUCUUUUCUUAUAUGGUUUCUCUGAUGUUAUCAUUUCUUAAAACAAAUGACUAACUUAGACACAAUCAUAGUGCAUCAUCAUCAUCUCUCUUUGACCUUUUCUUCUACUUCGUUUGCACUUUAUCAUAUAAGCUUCUCCUCUGUAUUCAUUCUUCACUUCACGAAUCAUCUUCUUCACUCUAGUUUCCAAUUUAUCUGGUGUAGAAUUAUGUAAAGGAUGAAUUUCCUAUAUUCUUCUCUCGGUAAAGUUUAAGUUUUGAGUCAUUGUAAUUGCUGGAAAAAUUGGUGACUUAUGUAAUCGUUUAAUGCAUCAGAUGGACGGUCAGUAAAUUUUAACAUCGUGUGCAUCAUAAUUCUGACCAUAAGAGCAUGUCAGAAACAUAACCAAUUGAGUCACAUGUUGCUGUCGUUGGGCACCUUGUUCUCAUGAGUUAUCGGUGGUUUUGCACUUUAUCAUCUUCAGCUUUUAGCUAGGUUCCAUGAGAUUGUUGAUUGUUCAUUUAUGUGAAUUUAUUUCUCGUGUUGCCAAUUAAGAAAAAAAAACAAAAGACUUCAUUGAUAUAUAUCGAUCUUGCCACCGACACUUUAAAGCAUUUUUUUGGCAAAGACACUUUAAAGCAUUUCCUUUUUACAAAAUGCACAAUGUUUGCUUGAGACUCAAGUCACCACGAAUAGCAAUAUACUACUCCGUGAGACAGAAAUCUCAUUCUCAUUCAUCUCUUUGUUCAUUCACUCCCGACAGCGGCAAAAGUGGAAUACGUCAAGGAGACAAGGUCACAAAUGGAAAUCCAAUUCAGUCAUCCAGAGACAGACUCAAUAGUUCAUUAAACCAGCUUUACACACAAAAAGAGGCGGUCUUGUCCCAGUAAGCAUUGACUUAGCACAUUCGCAUGCAUUAGGGUAUCGUCCAAACACUCCUUCCAUUUCGAGCGCUAUGUAACCACUGGUGGUAGGCUGGUAGCUCUAAGCCUCUAACAGGAAAGAUAGCUUUUUUAGGAUUCAGAAAUAUGGAAACGAACAAAACAAUAAUAAUAGGAUAGGCAUGUGUCAUAUAUAUUAUUUUUAGGCAUGUGUCAUAUAUUUUAGCUUUUUUAUUAUCAAACAAAAAAAAACUUAAGUCAGUGAUAAAUUUGACUAGGGUUAUUACAGUCGUAAAAGAAUUAUAACUACGGCAAUUUUAGCUGACAAAUGUUACUUUAUAAAGAAACACUGAAGUAGGAAAUAUGUUUUCGAUGAAAGAAAACAUAAGCUAUCAUUUUUAAUAGUUACAUAUAUCUAAAAAAUAAAAUUAUGGAAAUAAUUUUACAAAUUACCAUGUGAAAAUCGUGCUGGGUUACCUUAUUGAUGCGGGAUUAUAUACAUAACAAUAAGAAACUCAUCUUUUUCUUGUAUACAAGAAAGAAUCCUCUAGCUUUUUCUUUUAAAAAAAAAAUUAAAGAGCAUACUGCAACGCACAGAGAGGAUUUGAAUCUGGAUAUGAUUACGUAACAUGGUGCUUACUAAUAGAAAAAAUACAUUAAUUAGCCUAGAGACAGAUAUCCAACUUUCAUAUGUAUUAAUAUCCGUUUAUUUAUUUGAUUUUACCUUAUUUUGUUACAAUAAUUGGAAAAAAAAGAGCUAUUGCAGUAUUUUUCGACAGAUUUUAUUUAGGACGAAAAAAAACAAAGAUUAGUAAUGCGUCGAGGUUAAAGUUGCCUCCCCAAUUUAAAUCCCAAACAAAAGUUAAACCUAAAAUCUCUUUAAAGCUUUGAGAUAAUUUACUAUGAUAGUUACCCAACACCUACACACAAAGAAUCUGUUCUCCCUCAGUCACAUCAUUCUUUUCCCCAUCUUUACUCCACAAAGCACCUGCAUUUGUAUAUUAUAUGUUUCAUUGAUUCUUCAUGAAGCUGUCUUUACCCUUACUUGCAUCACAAGUAAAACUAAGAAACGAACAUGACCCAUCGCCGUCACGAACCACCAACUCUCGAAUCACCUGCGUCGUGUCUUCGCUUUUCCCUCCAUGCUCAUACGAAAAACCGCCCUGAAGAUUUUCAUAACUGAACCGGUUUAGGUUUACGAGAUUCUUAGGUUUAGUUUCGGUCGAUCCUCCACAUUGCCUAGGCUGUGUUUGGUAGAAGACUUUAGAGAGAACUGGUUCGCCGUCUUUCUCAUCCUCACUGUGGCCUAAGUGAUACUGAUGCAUCACCCAGUUCGUCUUCUCGGGCUUCUUCUGGCGACCGUAGUUCGUGUAGAGCACUAGGAUCUUCUUGAAACCAGCUUCUCCUGACUGAGACAAAACUGGUCGGGUCUUUCCCGUUUUGUGCCACCGUGUCUCGUGCCCUUCCUCGUCUGUGCUCACUUUUCUACGUUUUCGUGUUCCCGUCGUGUAAGCCUUUGACGGCCGGUGGAAGAAGUGUCGUACUUGCCCGUCUUUGCUUACUCCUACUUGGACAAGAUUGACAUAAGUUUAGCAUAUGUAAACCACUUUAAUCAUAGACAAAAAAUGGAGACUGUGUUAUAUUUUGUCACCAAUAUAUCACAUUACGUUACUAGAUUUGAUCAUUUGUUUUUGAGAUAAAUUAAUAAGUAAAGCGCAACAAAACAACUAUCAUCAAAUCUAAGAAAGAUUACCGACUAUCAUCAAAUCUAAGAAAGAUUGCCGUUUUUUCUGACAAAAUAUCCCUGUUUCUACAAUUUUAUUUUCUACAAAAUAAAUUUUCUACAAAAUAAAGCCCUAAUACAAAUGGGUAAACCCAAAAGAAUUUUUUGUAAGCUUGAAAAAUGAAAAUGGCGAGAAAAUUGCAUUAAUUUAAUUUUCAACAAACAUUAUUCUUUCUUCCAACUAUAUAUGUUAUGUAAUUUGAUAUAUUACAAAGAGAGCGUUUUGUUUUAUACCAGGAAGUUUCUCAGGAUGCGUAUAACAAAUUCCAUUCUCUCCUUCAAGUGUAGGUAUAAACUCAUCGAUCAACGGAUGAAGCUUCCGCUUAUCGGAUGAAACCUUCGCCUCCAAGUGCAUAAGGAUCUCUUUAUCCGACGGGUCGAAUUUGACUCCUGCCGGUAAACUUGGUAAAUCUUUGAUGCUGCCAACCUUAAAUUUCAUUUAUUUACAUUAAUAUGGGCGCCAAAAUACAAAGUACAGGAUAUAUGUAUAAUUUAAUUGACUAGAGAGGUUUAUAAGGUGAACCAUUCAUGGUUUAUAUAUAUAACCUGGUCGUCUUGUUGAUGCAUCUUAUGUCCACAAGAAGAACAAGUCAUAAUGGGAGAUUCAACGAUAAUCUUUGAAUCUGGACGGCUCGUGACACAUGAUUGAGAUUGAUCUUUGAGUUGAAUCGAUGGAUGAUCAAUAUUGGAUGCUCUUUCAAGAUUGAGGUCAUCUGAACCAUCACACCAGCUCAUCUUUUACUGAUCCCUCUCUCUUUCUCUCUAUAGAACAAACCCACCAAAAUCUAAACCUAAUUAAAAUUAGUACUACUAAAAGAUAGAGUCGAGAGAGGGAGGGAGAGAGACCAGCUAAAGAUGAGGUGAUAUAGAAAGAGAGGCAAGUGAUUGAUAAGUUUUCUUCCAAAAACUUAAUUGUAUAUAUUAAACUAAGUUAAUGGUUUUAAAAUAAUAUUUUGAGAGGUUGCUUGAACGUCACGUCUAUUAAUGGUUUAUGUUUAUACGUUUGCAACAAAAUUAAAUGCAAAUUUCUCAAAAUUUGAUUAUGACUAUUCUUGACCAUUUUAUUUCUAGUUUCCACAGUUGAUUUGUCGUGUAUUAUAUAUUAUUAGCCGGAUUCGUGUUAAAUAAUUAAAUGUGGCAUCCAACUACAAUUAGGAAGAAAACAAUUGUGCACGAAAAUAUUAUAUUAAAUCAGGAUAUGUAGUUUAUAUAUAUGCGAAUAAAAGACAGAAAGUAAUAUCUUCACAGACAAGAAAGAUAAUGAGAUGGAGUGUCGUUAUUGAAACUUGUUUUCUUUUUCUAACUUUUAGUUUUUGCCAGUUUUAAUAAUUUUUGUAGUCAGAAGACAGAAAGGUAUCACACCAUAAUAUAAUCUUUGAUUAAUCCUUUGACCAUUAAAAGAAAACUAGAUUUUGACCCGCACUUGGAAAGCGCGGGGUUGUUGGAUUAUAUUAUAAUACAAAAUUUUAUUAUAUCGAAAAACAUAAUUUUUAACAGCUAUAUAAUCUACAAAUUAGUUUAUUUGAGAUUUUAUAUGUACACUUUUACGUAAGUUUCUUUUCGACAUGAGAAUUAUAUUCGGAUCAAAAAAACAAACUAAACCGACCCAAAAUUAUAGGUUAGUUCAGGUCGAGAGAAGAUAACCUAUUGUGUUUUUUUUGACCCGCAGGUCUUUGUUUGAGUUCGGGUCCUACCCUAGACCCGAUCAUAAAUAUGUGUUUAUUAGGUAUAUUUGGAUAUUUUGAAUAUAUUUCCGGUAUUAUGGAUAUUGUUUUUAAGUUUUUGGUUUACGAUUAGAGUUUUGAUUUCAGGUAAAUUUUUCAAAUUAAAAAAGAAAUUGGGUAUUUUCCAGUUCAUCGUGUUAGAUUUUGAAUAGGAUUUUAAAAUUUUAGGUAUUUAAAUUUUUUUGGUAUUUGUUUGGAGUUUCAAAUACUUUUCGUGUUUCGAAUAUUUUUCAGAUUUUUUAUAUAUUUCGAAUUCUUUUAGGAUCUUAAAUACCCGAACAGAUGUGGAUCCAUUACGUCCAUAUCAGGUCCAACAACUUUUUGAUAUAGAUUUUUAACGUUAUUGUACAAAAACAUGGUUGAUGAAAUAUUUUUCUGAGUAAAGGUAUCAUAAGAAAUAAUAUUAAGAUCUGUUUAAAAUAUUGUAUGUUUAGAAUGAUUAAUGUAUUAUCAAAAAAAUAAUAAAUAGUUAUACAUAACUCCAACAACUUUUUUAUAUUAGAUUUUUUAAAACUUUUUCUCUUUUAAUCGUAUUGAUUCGUUUUAAGUGAAAAGUAUAUAAAAGUAUAAUAUCUAAACAAAUAAUUUUCAAAAUCUUGAAUAAUCAAUACUGAUAUCGUGAAGUCGGGUUAGCUUUAAUAGAACCAAUGAAUUUCUUUAUUUUUGUGAAGGUAACAUGAAUAUUCAGGAAAAUCAUUUUUAAAUAUGAAAAUAUUAUCAAAUUAUAGACGGUUGAAAGUUUUGUAUAUGAUAUGAGAUUUUAGUGGGAAAGUUUAUAUAUGAUAUGAUUACUUUAUUAUAAACGAAAGAGGAAGUUAGAAUGUACACAUAUAUGUCUUGUAUAUCUUGCUUUAAAUCAUAUAUUAUAUGAUCAAAGUGAUAAUAUAAAACAUUAGUUUCAAUGUUUUUACGAUUAAAAAUCAAAAUGAUAAAUAUAGUAAUAGUAAUGAUUAGAAUUUAGGAGUGAGAUUUAAAUAAAUAAAAGAAUUGACUAAAUUAUUGUUAGAGAAAUAUAUGGUAAUAUUGUUAGUAUAAAUUUAAGGUAAGACCAAAAAAUAAUGAAUUUAAUGAAAGUGUCCAAACAACUUUUAUAGAUAGAUAUUUUUAGACUCCUUUCCUUUUAAUAGUAUUGAUUCAUUCAAGAUUGCGCACUAUGCAAUGUCUAAACGUUAAGUUGCCCUUAGACGAUCAAUAUUGUCACAUGUGUAUAUAUAUAUAUGUAGAAUUCAUUUAUAUAACAACAUAAAAUUAAAAGAAAAAUGUUGGAUCAUAUUCCAUAGUCCAUAUAUAGUUUUACUUGUAUAUAUAUAUACAUGUUGGUCCUACUUGGUGUAGGUGUAGCAGAAAUAAGACCCUAGCUUCACGCACAGAACAAACUUUCUUGUUUAGCAAGCAAACCACACCAAAAAUUCUUAUAUUUAGCUCCUUGACAGCAGAUACCUCACCAGAAGUUAUAGAUAAAUUCAUUAUUGUUUAUUGAGUCCCUAAUAGUGAAUUAAUUCUUACUUCUGAUAAUAUGUAAGAAGAUCUAUAUAUACAUCUUUAGAAUUGCCGUAAUGAACCAUCGAUCAAAAUGUUUUCUGUUUUUCUUUGGUAAAAUUUUAAAAUUUAUAUCUUUUUCAAAAAAUGUACAAUGUUGCAAGCGCAACUUAUUAUAGCGGAUAAAGAAACCACGGAAAAACACGCAACUCAAGGAGACCUAGUACAAGAGAAAUAUAAUUGCAGAAGAGAGCGAGAAUGUUUUAUGAAAUCAAUUAUAAGUUAUUUUUCAAUUUUCACAUGUUGACUAGUUCUAUUCACCUAUCACAUGUUAGAGAUAAAUUAUGGUUGACCGCUAAUCCUUGUCGUUAAACUUUAAACUUUUAUGGACAAAAUACGUUGAUAUGAAAGUAAAAAAAAAUAUUUUCAUGAGAUAUAUGUCUAUUUUCCCGAGUGAAAGUGUCAUAUACUUGGUCCGGAUCUCUAAUACUAUAUGAUAUACUAAAAAUAAAUCUUUGCUACUGUGAAGUUUAACAGUUGUAAUUGUAAUAUUUGAGAUUCAAUCCAGGAGACAAGUUCACACUUUAUUCUUAUAAGUUUUAUAUCAAGUUAAGAACAAUAAUGAGUUUUGAUUUCAAUGAAGUAACUAGAGGUUAGCCUAGGGUAAUUCAUUGGGUGUUGAUAUUGACCAAACAAUUAUUCAAGUGCAAUAAAAAACCAUCUAGAACUCGAAUCACUCCACUGGAUCAGCCCACUGAGGUGGUGCUGCUCCCUUUGCGAAUCGAUCUUGUUGCCUAAGCUUUCGCUUGGAACAAGAUACGAUGGUAAGCCUUAGAGAUCAAGUCCGAUACCUUAACACCCUAAUAUCUACUUUCGCUGACUAGGGUUACUAAACUCAUUCAUACAAUGUCAAGUCAUCUCCUACACGGUUAGCGAGGUGAUUAAACUUAAGUUCAAACAUUAAGUGAUCAGAUUAAUCCAAGCAAUAAGAGCUAUAUAAAUGAAGACACAAGGGAAUCCCUUAUCUAUGUUUAGCUUGUUUAAUCAACACCCUAAUACCCUAGACGAGCUAGCCGACUACUCGAUCAUAAUGCAAGAAUUCAAAGACAACAUUUCUAAAUAAUACUGUAUACGAUAAAAUAAGAAACAAGGGUUCAGGAUAGUCUUCUCUAGGCGAGAGAUGAAGCCUUCUUCUGUACAAGUUGCAAUCGCCAAAUACAAGUCUCAGUCUCUUGCAAAACUAGUGUAAAAGGUAAAAUAGUUAGGGCAUUGUUUUUAUAUGAAGGCGUCGAUAAUAUCCAAGGAGGAAUAGGGUAGCUAGGGCAAACUCCCGAAAUAACCUUGGAGGUUUCCUUAUCUGUCGAGAACAGUCUCUCAGCUGUUCUGCUGUGAGAACAAUCUUCGGGCUGCUCCGACUGGCUGUUCCGCGUGAAACGCUCCAGAAUGGCAUCUUUCUUUAUGCAUCUUCUCUUUCAUUCUUCUGUCUACUCCGUACCUGAAGUAAUCACAAAAGGACUAGACAAAUUCGAUAGAAGACUGAAAAACCUCAAGAAACACAUAUACUAUGAUGUUGAAAACACCAUAUAUCACUAUACAUGAUUCAUGUGUCAUGUACGCCUGUACGGGGUGGAAAAAAAUCAAACCGAACCAAACCAGAUCGACCCAGCUAAACUCAAAUCGACCCAAACAUAACCAAAAUAUAUGUCUACACCAUUUUGUUAAAAAUUGUACAAUUCAAAUGGUUCGGUUUGAUUCGGUGUUAAACCAAAGUUUUUUUGAAUUAGAUUACUUGAAUAUACUAAUAAAAUUAAGAUUUAAGAUAUUUAACCAUUAAAAUUUAAACAAUUAAACAUAAUUUUUUUUCAAACUGAAUAGAAGAAACAACUAAAAAUAAAAUAAAAGAAUAUAAAUAUGAAUUUCAUACAUUAGCAUAAAAAUGGCAAAAAAUACCUAUGAUAUUUACAUUAGGUUGGAAGAUAAUAAUAUUAAAUUAUUAAAUUGCAUCUCUUAUAUUUUCUUGUGAUGUUUGACUUCAUGUUUAAAAUUUAGAAAAUAAUGAUUUAGUGUUAAAUGAUGAUUUUUAUGUUUUUAUAAAUAAUAUUUUGUAACUGAACUAACACAAAACUAAGAAAUUAAUUUGAUCGAACUGAAACAUACAAAACCAAACUAAACCGACCAAACUGAACACAAACUAAACCGAAACAAAACUAAAUCAAACUGAACACAAACCAAACUAAUUUCAAUUGAUUUUUAUUAACGUUUUCUUAGAUUCAAAUAAACCGAACCAAACCAAAACCCGAAUUUAAACUGAAAUGUUCACCCUUAGUUUGAUGGAUUCUCAAGCCAAAAUAUUUCGUAUAAUCACUCACCCUCUAAUAUUGCCAUGUUAUAUACCAUCAGUACCGGUCCAGAGAAAAAUUUAUAGUUGUGUGCCUAUAAAUAAAAAUAAAACACACAAAACUAAUUAUUACUACAUCGAAAAAUAUUAUAUUUAACCAACUACACUACUGAGCUUUUAUGCAAAUCAUAGCCAGAAAAUUAGAUAUUUUGUAUUGGGCCAGAAGCACAUGUUUCUACCGCCCAUGACUACGGACUGGUACUGUAUACCAUGCCACCAUGGCACAUAAAAUGGUUUAGGGGAAGUGACUUCUGAUUCAGCUACUAAAUCCUCCCACCACUCAACUUUUAACCAAUCUUGAGUCCGACGGUGAGACUAAAUUGCCAAUUUACAUGGUUAGAACAUAGAACAAACGUUUGUCUUAGGAAUAUAAAGAUUACAGUAUAAUUAAGAGAUGUAUAUGUAAGAAAGAUAGUAAAUAUCUGGCUUCAUCAUGUUUCCAAAGAGAUACCCAAAAUUCAGCUAAAGCAAUAUACCAUUCCCUUAUUGUUAGAAUGGGCAGUCUUUGACAAGUUAUAGUAGUUGAUGUGAAGAUUUGUGAAAAUGUAGAAAAUAACCAUGUGGGUCCGAUAAGCCCAUUCAAAAGCCGAAUGGCCCAAUGUGUUAGUGUGUACCGUCUGCCUGUGGGUCAUCAUUCUCAAUUACUCGUUUGUCCAACUCUCAAGGUGUGAGUGUGUACCGUAUGCAUGUGGGUCAUCAUACUCAAUUACUCAUAUGUCUGUGAUCAUUUCGCAAUCCUACCUUAUCUUUUGCACUCUGGUCCCUACUAUGCUUUCCAUUUUUUAAAAGAAUGUUUCUUAUAAAUUAUUUAAAAUCUCCACAAACUAUAUGCUUUUCUCUUACUUGACAACCAUUUAGCAAAUACAAUACCAAAAUUAUUAGAAUGAGAGAAGUUGCCUAGCUUUGCUAUAAUAAGUUGCAACGUAUAUUAAAAAUAAAAAUUUCACAAAGAUAAAAUGGAAGCGUGAUAUUUGUUGUAGAAAAAAACAAAAUAUGUGGAAUAUGUAUUGGACUUGAUCAUCCAACAUGUUGAUAAAUAACAAAAAGAAAAUGAAAACAAAAAUGAGAAAUGAUUUAGAAAAGGAAGUGAGUGAAAGAGACAGAGAGACAAGGCAAAGAUGAAGGCGAGGUGUCAAUGUCCCUUAUUGAAUGAUACUCUCUACCAAUGAAGGCUUCAGUGCCUAUUAGUCCCACUUCUAAUUUCCUCACCCAACAACAGCUAAUCUUUAGAUUCUUUACUUAACUAUUUAUGUAAUCUUAAAUUACAUUUGUGUAGGUAAAUUCUCCACUUAGAUAAAGCACAUGUAAUGGUAAGAUGUCAAUGUUCUUGUUUUAUUUUGUACUCGACAUAGAAAUUAUCUAAUCAUCAUUAAGAUUUAAGAGUAUCAUUGCAGUUAGGAAGUUAAACGUUCCCUAACGACCUUCUUUGAUUUAGAUGACUUAACUACUUCUUACGAGUAGGAAGUAAAUUACAUUUGUGUAGGUAAAUUCUCCACUUAGAUAAAGCACAUGUAAUGGUAAGAUGUCACUGUUCUUGUUUUGUUUUGUAAUCGACAAUAUAAGUUAUAUUUUAACACAAAAGUCAUCAUUAAGAGUAUAUUCAUUGCAGUUAGGAAGUUAAACGUUCCGCCUAAACACCUUCUUUUGAUUUAGAUGACUUAACUACUUUUUAAGAGUCUAAACUCGAUAUUGUAUAUAGAAAUACAUACUUGUGGAAGAUAUAGUAUUCGCACUUAAAUACUCCAAUAUCAAUAUUGUUUUAUGGUCAAAGGGUUUGCUACGAUUUAUAGUAACUUUUGAAGAAAGAGAUUAGUAAACACUACGUUGUUUGUAUUUAUAUAUUAUGUAGUUUAUGUGUUUUUGUAUCUUAAGUAUUUAAUAAUUGAUUAGAUACGGAAAAACCAACCAGACGGACUUAAACAAGUAUCCCAAUAAGAGAGCUUUUAGCUGGAACUUUGAUGUUCUUAGUCAUCUCAUAAGCCAAAUCUUGUUACCUCUGAUGCCUAUGUACGUAAAGUAAGAAAAGGAAAUAUAAAUAACAGAACCUGAAAUUUGAAAAAGUUGGAGAAUUUAAGAGCCAUGUGACUCUACAGUCACAUACUGUCAACACACACGAGCCUCCAAUAGUUCACUAAAAAUGAGAGAGCCCACGCUUUAAAGAUGGAUACAUCAGACAUGUUCCUUCAAUAACCUAGAAUCUGUUUAGCCAGAUAUGGAAACUAUUUUAAAUGCAUGUUAACACCAGAAGCUGGCAUUUUAAUUUGCAUUUAUGCAAUGAAAAACGAAACUCUUACAAACCAGAGUUACUACUAAUAGCUUUACACUGGAAGCUGAAACACCAAUUCCUGAUUUAGGAACAUUUUAUAUAGAUAUAUAUGAUAAAACUUAACAUUCACUGAUACCCUCUUUUAAACCAAAACCCUUGCAAAAAAAAAAAUGGGAGGAGAAUCUUGAUUAAGCGCCCUCAUUCACAGCUUCAAGCAACCAAAAAUUGAGAGCUUUUGGGGCAAUAAUAAAGUAGACUUGUUGUGACUCAAGCUAUACUUCCCUGGUCUGAGGCUUCUUCAUUGUAGUAAGGUGUUAACUUUCCAUCCUUAGUCUUGUUAUGGCUCUCGUCGUCUCCACCGCCGAUUUCUUGCAACAUCUUGACCACACGUCUCAUUGAGGGUCGGUUUAUGGGCAAGGGACUCGUGCAGAGAAGCCCAAUGUUGAGGAUUUUGCUUAUCUCUUCUUUGAAACAAGAGUCAAGCUUCGGGUCUAUCACAUGCUCUACGCCUUUCUGGUCCAACGUCGAGCAGACCCACUUCACCAAAUCUUUUUCUCCUAAUUCCGGAGCAACCGGGCGUUUCCUAGUCACUAUUUCAAGUAUGACUACCCCGAAACUGUAGAUAUCACUCUUCUCGUUCACACGGAGCGUGUAUGCGUAUUCUGCAAAUAGUUUGAAACAAACAAGAAUUAAAAUCUUACAAAUCCAUUAAUAAACAAGUGUGAACGUUGUGGAGCCAAUGAUUAAGACAUGUCUCAAUGGACAGUGAAUGCACAUUUAAGUCUCUCAACUACUAUACCUUAAAUGUAGUUCGUGUGAAUGUACAUGCAACAUGUACUAAUUAACCAACCACAUUAAAGUUAGUCUAACCUGGUGCAAUAUAACCGCAUGAGCCAGCGAUCCCUGACAUGGACUUAGGAGCUUUUCCGGUCAGGUCCACCACUUUAGCCACUCCAAAAUCAGCAACUCUUGCACCAUAGUCUCCAUCGAUCAAAAUGUUGUUGGACUUAACAUCUCUAUGCACAAUCGGAGGCACACAAUCAUGGUGAAGAUAGGAAAGCCCCUCGGCCGCAUCUAAGAUGAUCUUAAACCUAGUUUGCCAUCCCAACGUUCCUCCUUUGCUGCUAUGAAUCAAAUCUCCCAAGCUACCAUUAGGCAUGUACUCAUAAACCAAUAGCUUGCAAUCUCUCGUGGUGCAGCAACACCAUAGCUUCACAAUGUUCUUAUGCCUAAUCUUACCCAACGUCUCAACUUCAGCCUCAAAGGCCUCGUCUUUGACUCCACGUCUCUCGCCUUUCUCUGGAUCAGUGUCUCCUGCUUCUUUAACUGAUCCUCCUGUCCAUAAACGUUUAACCGCCACGGUUUCUCCGUUGGUGAGUACAACCUUGUAGACCUUACCCGAAGCUCCGGCUCCAAUCACAUUGUCUUCAUCCAAGCUUUCGAGAAUCUCGUGCUCACUGAACCCGAGUUUGUGGAAUGACAUAAGCGUCCACUUUGAUCUCUCCACAGCUCUUUCUUUCUUGAAAGUCUUGUACUUGAAGUAGAACCAAGCAAGUCCCGCGACAAACACCAUUACCGCAAGUACGAAUAUCGAUCUGAGAACCCAUACAUAGCCCUUGUUCUUAGCUUCAUCCCCAGAGCCACACAGACCCUUUAUGUCCCCGCACAGUCCCGGGUUCCCGAGGAAGCUGUUCUUGUACAUCUCCUUAGCUAAAGAAGGCGGUAGCUCACCGGUUAACCGGUUAUACGACAGGUUCAGCUGGUUUAGCUUCAAACUCUGUAACGAAACAGGGAUGUUGCCGGAGAAAAGGUUUCCCGAAAGAUCAAGAUAGUUCAAGACCGACAAAUUUCCGAUUUCGACCGGGAUUUGACCGGAGAACCGGUUACCGGCUAAAUUCAACUGGUUUAGCUUCUUCCACGAUUUGAUUUUAGGAGACAACUCCCCCGUAAACCGGUUACCGUGAAGAUCAAGAGUACCUAACUCAUCGAGAUUCAUCAAGCUAUCAGGCAAAGAGCCACUGAACUUGUUUCCACCCGCCGACAACUGAUUAAGGUUGUCCAAAGACCCAAUCUCCUCCGGCAAAGACCCGGUGAACUCAUUGUUGGUAAGUAUCAACUGCGAGAGAUUCGACGCGCCUCCGAUGGUCUUCGAAACUUCACCGGAGAAGGAGUUGUUGACGAGCUCAAGCAAGUAAACGUGAGGCAACCCCCAGAAACCGGCGGGAACUUGACCGGAAAACCGGUUAUACGCUAACCGGACACGCGUCAAGCUACGACAAUCUCCAAGGCUCUCCGGUAAAGGGCCUGAGAACGAGUUGUGGAUAAUCAGAAGCUCCUCCAGCUCCCCUUUCCCGCAGAGCUCCGGCGGCAACUCGCCGGAGAAUUCGUUUUGGGAAACGUCUAGCCACUUCAACGGCGAGUUGCGGCCGAGGUCACGAGGCAACUCGCCGGUGAAGCGGUUUCCGAAGAGCCUGAGCUCGUACAAGUUGGGAGACGAAGCUAAACUCUCCGGAACCUCGCCUUCGAGAUUGUUCUCGUAAAGAUUCAAACUCUCCAGCGCCACGCGGCAGAGCUCCUCCGGUAUAGACCCGGUCAACUGAUUCAUCGACGCGUCGAAAAGUCUCAGCGACUUCAGCUCCCCGAGCUCCGGCGGGAUCGCUCCGGUUCAACCCGCGUAGCGAGCGAGGGAUGGGACCCACCAGGUCGUUGAGCGCGAGGUCUAAGUCAACGAGUUCGGUGAGUCGGCCCAGCGAGUCGGGUAUCUCCCCGAGUAAACGACAUUCCGUGAGCCACAAGACCUCGAGGCUCGUCAGGUUCCCGAGCUCCGGCGGGAUCCGACCCGGAGUAAACGGGUUGUACGACAGGUUGAGCAUCUUGAGCGAGGUGAUGUUCCCGAGGAACGGAGGGAUGGUCCCGUCGAGGAGAUUGUAGACGAGAGAGAGAACCUCGAGGUUUUCGAACCGGCCGAAACUCGCCGGAAUGUCGCCGGAGAAGUUGUUUCCGGUCAAGUCGAGGGACGUCAAGAAGGGGAGAUCCGCGAGGGUGUGGGGAAGCUCGCCGGUGAGGAGAUUCUGGGAAAGGUCUAGAGUCUGGAGACUCUUGCAAGCUCCGAUGUCGAGGGGGAGCGUGGAGUUGAUGUCGUUGUCGUACAAGGAGAGGUCCGACAGUCUGGAGAGGUGGCAGAUGACGGAGGGGAAAGGGCCGGAGAGUUUGGCGCCGGAGAGGUCGAUGGAAGUGACGGAAGUGAAGUCUCCGCCGCAGUAGACGCCGGACCACCGACAAGGCGAGUCGUCUUGAGGGUUCCAGGAGGCGAGAGAGGAGAGUGGGUCGUCGAGAGAGUGUUUGACUUGUUGAAGGAUGAAGCCUUCUUGGUUUAGGGAGUAAACUGUCGGAAGAAUCAGGAGGAGAAAGAGUAGAUGCAUGUUUCUUGUUCUGUCUAAACGGCGAUAAGAGAUAGAGUGAGAGAGUGUUGAAGGAAGUGAGAUGAUAAUAAGAAGUCUGGAAAGCUUUGACCGCUGACAUGCUUAUUGUUUCUACUAUCAUUGAGUUUAUAUACAAAUAUUUUUAAUUCGGUUGCAAUUAUUAUUAACUAUUUUCUGUUUUAAGAUUUAUUACAGAUAAUAAAAGAGAAUGUUGUAAAUAAUGAUAUCUACUAGUCAGUCUUAUGGGAACAUUUAUCAUUUAUUAUUUCCCAAAUUCUUCUCUCAUUUUUAUUAGUUCAAAAACCUUUAUAAAUCAAUAUUCAAUAAGAAUAACUAAUUAUAUAUUUCUUUUAAUUUAAGAAUAAUUAAUUUUAGUUAAAACAACUGUGGAAUGUUGGAGAAUAAGGUUGGCUGAUGGUUAGUGGUGUUGUUAGCUCUCUUUGAGAGAAAAAAAAAAACAAGAGUCAAUCUCAGAUGAGAAAGUUUUGAUGAAUCAGUAGUGCUUGUUUUUUCAAAACAUAAAAAAAUAAAUCAGUAGCGCUUGUUUUAAAGACUGUGGAGAGUGCUGGGAUCGAACUAAGAGGGUUAGUUUCUAUAGUCGUGUAAUAGAUUUUGCACUAAUUGUACUUCUAUACAAAAAAAUGUUUUCAGUAAAGUCUGAAACCAUAGACAUGUUGAUUAACCUCGUUAGAGAGCAAAUUGUGUUUGCACUUUGGUUCUUGCUUUUAUACUAGUUUCUGUUCUGCCAACGAGUUUAGUUAUACAAGGGUUGAUGUAAGUUACUGCAAUAAGACAUGUUUUUUUCUAAACAAUUAAUAAGACAUGAUUUUGUGUGGAAAAGAAAGAUAUAGACAUACCAGAUGAAGUUUAGUAAUUUUAAGCAUGUAUCUUACUUAUAUAGAUCAUAUAUAGAUGUACAUGCUAAGAGCAUCUCCAACUUCACUUCAUUUUUUACUUUUUGUUUCAUUUUGAAUUAAGUUUUGCUCCAACCCUACUUUAUUUUUUACUUCAAAAUGAAGCAACGAACAGUGUUGCUUCAAAUUUGAAGAUCUAAUGUAUAUAUCUUCAUUUUUUUUUAAGAUAAACUUUUUCAUUGUAAAUUGGUCUUUAAUUUUUAUUUAUUCUUAUCUUUUGCUAAAAUAAACUAUAUGCUUUAAUAUAAUCCAAUUAAUUUCAAAAUUUCGACUAUUAUUUUUAUCUAAUCAGAUGUUUAUAUCAAAAAAUAUAUGAAUAUUUAUUUUUAAGAACUUUUUAACUCCAUUUAAAAAAAUCAAAGAUAAAUAAACUCAUUUUUUACUCUAAACACUUUUGUCAAUUAAUCGUAGAAAAAAAUUAUAUAUAUGGUGUUUUUUAUACAAAUUAUGAUGUUUUGCGUUUGUUUAUUCAUGUUAUGUAAUAAAUUCAUUAUAUGAGAAUGUUAAAUUUAUAUGAAAUAAUAAUUAUGUUGGGUUAUUGUUAAAACAAAAUAGUUAGUCAAAAUAAGUAAAUAUAAAAAAGUAUAAAGUGUAUAUUAAUAAUUAAUGAUAAAGUGGAGAUGGAAUAUAUUUGGAAUAUUCCUUUUACAAGAAAGAAAUGAAUCAAACCAUUGGAGUGAAUGUUGCUUCAUUUUUUGCUUCAUUUUGAAGAAAGUGAAUUUUUAAAAAUAAAAAUGAAGCCACCCAUUGGAGAUGCUCUAAUAGGCGAGAACAUAUCGAUGAGUCUAGGUAGCAGCUAUUUAGAUUGGUUUUAGAUAUUUCCGUCUGUCGUUCAAAAAAAAAGAAGAUAUUAAAUUUUUUUUUUUUUUUUUUGUCAUCAAAAUACAGACUCAUACUGACUCUGUGAACCAAACUGGGUGAUCUGCAUCCAUGUGAACGACGAAAGACGAUUGAUUUCGAGCACUGCGUGCUAGACUAUCCGCCUUUGAAUUGUGCGUCCGUGGUACAUAGAAGAUAUUUCUGUCUAAACAUAACUAGUAUAAUGUGUUUAUAAUUAAUGUAAGGGAAAUUAGGCUAGAUAGCUAAGAAAUAAAACAUAUUUAAGAAUCUAACUAAAAAAAAGAGUCACCAUUAUUAUUAUAUUAUGUACUAUAUUGCCCUUAGUAUCCGAUCACUAAAAUCUCAAACACGCUCUUCUUUAAUUACCAAUCGCCACCACCGUCAUUUCUUUCUUAAUCACCAUUGUAUCUUUAUUGUUGCCAUUUUCACUACAAUCACCACAAAUCUGUAAUCUUUGUUCAGUAUUUUAUAUUUUUAGGCCACAAUCCUAUCAACCAUCAUCUCUUCCUUCGUAAUAACUACCGCCUCUAUCAAUUCUGUUAUUCUCGUAUGUACUGUAAAUUUCAAGUUAAUAUAUACUAUUCUAUUUUCUUGUUACUAUUCUAUUUUAAUAAUGCUUUAUAUUAUGUACAAUGUGAGUGUUUUGAUAUUUGAAUUAGCGUUUAUAUUUCUUUUUAGGGUUUAGUGAUUAGCGUUUUGACUUUUGAGUUUAGUUUAUGGAAAGUUUGGGUUAACAUUGGAGUAAACAUUACCUUCUUUUCUUUAAUCAUAGACAUUUCAAAAUUUGAACAAUAUGUACUACGCUAUUUCAUUUGUUACUAUUCUAUUUUGAUUAUGCUUCAUGCAUAUUUUGAUAUUUGGAUUAUAGUUUAUAUUUUCUUUUAGGAUUUAGUGAUUAGUGUUUGGGUUUGGACGUAGAAAUCAUCCAUAGAUGUAGAGGAGGAAACACAAUUCAUUUUCGAAUAUACCAUUCUAUUUAAUAAUUUUACUAAUACUUGCCAUACCACCAGUUUGCUCUAUACUAUUUCUAAUCUAUGUUAUAAAAAAUCAUUGGUUCCUAUAUAUCUACAUCCACCACUUUCUUUGUAACCACCACCACCACCAUUGUCAUUACCAUCACGAUCACCACCUAUCUCAUUGUCUCUUUUAUAUACUUCAAAUUAUCACAAUUUUACCAUACCACCGUACUCACAUCCAUUGCUAUGAUACUAUGAUAAUCAUCACCAUCAGAAUCCAUAUCUGCCCCUACCGUAAUCAUCACCACUGCCGAUACAAUAAUCACCAUCGUCGCGAUAACUGUCACAAUUGUAACAUCAAAACUAUUAUCAUCACCGGUUGUUUCAUAACUGUUACUGUUUUUUUAUCUCUAUCAUCAACCAUGCCUCGUAAUUUCCUUUCAUUUUCUUCUUUUCAGUUUUAACAUAAUCAAUAAUUUUCUUUAUCGUAUAUUUGCAAGACAAAAGGUUAAAAUCGGAUUUUCUUCUUUUCAGUUUUAAUGUCAUCAGUUAUUUUCUUUACCGUAUACUUAUAAGACAAAAGGUUAAAACUAGAAAGAAAAGGAAAGAAAGUGUUAUCCAUUUAAUUAUUUCAAAUAGGCCUGGGCAAAAGGCCCGAACCCGAUUACCCGAACCGAACCCGGUCCGUUUAAGGUGGUAUGGGUCGGGACCGGAUCUGUCAAAAAAACCGAAUGGGCCUGAUGUCUUGCUACUGUCGGGUGUCGGGUCGGAUCGGUUAAAACCCGAGAGCCCGAAUGGUUACACCCGAAACCCGCCUCUCAUUAACCCUAAUCCCCUUUUUCCCCAAAUCGUAUCGCGAUUUUAUUUUUUCUUUAUCUUCAAGGAGAGAAUCCAUGAAACCUUUCCUAAAUCUCGAUCUCCCAAGAUAUCCUCACCGAAAUGAUUUCCUAAGUCCGAUUAUCGGAUAUCUCCAACUGUUUUUGCACCUCCUAUCCGAUUCUCUUCCUCGAUUUGAACCCGAUACCCUAAGUCUAAGAUCCUAUAAAUACUUCUGCUAUCAUCAUCGUCUCCUCCAUCACAUAUCUCAAGUAAUCAAGCAAAGGUACACCUCCUUUUACAGAGUACUCGAUGCUUGUUUAAAUUUUUUUUUCUUGCUUUCGGGUUUUUGGGGUUUGGUUCAAUUUUUAAGAUUGAAAAACUUAUGUUUUGUUUCGUAUUAAGCAAGCAUCACGAUUCACGAGUGAUCAUAGGUUCUUUUACAUGAACUUGCUGACAUGUGAAAUGAAAACAUAUCGUGCAUUUUGAUGUUUGUUGUAAGGAAGUCUUAUGUUUUGGGUUUGUUGUACGAGUAAUAAUAGGUUCUUUUUCAUGAACUUACGGUUUUGUUUCGUAUUAAUCAAGGUUGAUGUUUGUUCUUCGGCUAUGAGCUGAGUUUACGGUUUUUCAUGAACUUACGGUUUUUAUGAACUUACGGAUAUAUAUGUUUUCCAAACUAAUUUUGUACAUGUUGAUGUUUCUUCUUCGGCUAUGAGCUGAGUUUUUGGAUAGAAACUAAUAACUGAAUUGUUUCUUUUGAUGUCACUGAUGGUAAUUUUUAUUCUCAUUAUCUUGCAGAUGGUUUCCUCAUCCUCCAAAAUCCCACACACCGUUGAAGAGACCAUGGACGUUGACGUUCAAGUUGAAGGAGAAGAGUGCCAACGAACUCAAAACCGUGGGAAGGCCAUUGCUGUUGAUGCAACGUCUGGUGUCUCUUCUCAGUCAAAGAAGGUGAUGAAAAUCGUUGUGCCAAGGUCUGGUGUCUGGAAGCAUUUCACCCGAACCAAAGAAAGUCGAGACAGAUGCAUCUGCCACUAUUGCCAGAAGAUCUUCUCAUGCGCUACCAAAUCAGGAACAUCAAACCUCCAGAAGCAUCUGUCCAUCUGCAAAGAGUACCAAGCUUGGUUAACCAGCCAAGGUAUGAAUAAGAUGGAGAUCAACACUGAUGGCAACCUGAAGUCAUCAAAAGUUGCAGAGGCUGUUUUCAGAGAGGCAUCAAAUGAGUUGAUCGUGCUAGGAGAACUGCCUCUUUCAUUUAUUGAAAGCAGUGCUUGGAAACACUUCUGCAGAAAGGUAAUUCAUUAAUAUACCAUUACCUAUUUUUUUAUCUUCCUUUUAACAUGAAAAAUUACUAAUACUUUUGUUAUUUACGCUUGCAAGGUAAACCUCUACAAGCCACACUCGAGAAGGACUGCCACCAGCGACAUCGUUGAGAUGUAUGUGAGGAAGAAAGCAGCUUUGAAAAAUAUGCUUCGCACAACCAAACAAAGAGUGUCACUUACAACUGACAUUUGGGUUUCACAGGUUACAGGUAUUUUCUUUACAGCUUUUUUUUUUUGUUUUAUAACUUUUAUUUAUGCUAUACUUUUUGCUAGCAUAGAAUGUCACUUUUCAAAAUUUCUAAAUUCAUUUUUUCAAAAAAAAAAUUAACAAAGACUGUCACGUAAAACUUCUAUGCAUAUGAUAUAUUUAUAAAGUUUUUUAUUUUUUUUCUGAACUCUGACUUUGUUUGUUUAAUUUGUCACAGGUGCAAGUUAUAUGGUGAUAACUGCCCACUUUGUGGACGCAACUUGGCAGCUGAAGAAGCUUAUCAUAGGCUUCAAGUACGUGAUGGACCACAAGGGGCAGACCAUCGCAACUGUGCUCUUGGAGUGUCUAGCUGAAUGGGGCAUUGAGAAGGUAUUUUGCAUUACAGUAGACAAUGCGACUGCUAAUACUUCUGCCAUUAGGAGAUUCCAUAGGGAUUUUAGUGAUGUAUCCCCUGAGUCUUUAGUUCUAGACGGGAGUUUCUUGCACAUGAGGUGCUGUGCUCACAUCAUCAAUUUAAUUGCUAAGGAGGGUUUGACCGAGGUAGGAGAAAAUGUGUUAGCCAUUAGGAACGCUAUUCAGUAUGUUCGCUCUUCAACACCUAGGCUUAAUGCAUUUGAUCUUAGAGUCACUACUGGGAGAAUGAGUCGAGGUAGCUUACCUAUGGAUAUUAAGACUAGAUGGAAUUCAACCUUCCUUAUGCUGUCUAGGGCUCUUCAGUUUAGAACUGCAUUUGAUAGGAUGGAGGCAGAAGAUAGGUUGUAUAAUGAUUAUUUUUUAGAGAUGGAAAAUGGGGUUAAGAGGUGUGGACCACCUUCUUUGAGAGACUGGAGUGCUGUUGAGAAGCUCAAGAGGUUUCUCAUAAUCUUUUACAACAGCACUCUGGUUGUUUCUGCCUCUACGACGGUUAAUUCUUACAAGUGCUACGGUGAGAUAGUGACCAUAGAAAGAAACCUCACUGCACUAGCCAACAGCUUCGAUCCUGAGUUGAAGGUGAAAGCGUCGGAGAUGUUGCAGAAGUUUCUCAAGUACUGGGAUGGUAUCAAGAGUGUCAACAGGAUGCUGAUCUUAGCCACUGUUUUCGAUCCAAGGAAGAAGAUGCAAUUUGCCAAGCUCUGCUUUGAGAAGCUCUAUGAGAAGGAGAGCUUAGAGUCUAAUGCAAUGCUGGAAUCUGUUGGUGAUCUUCUCAGGUAUUUGUUUUAUAAUCAUGAAUUUAAUAUCCGAGACCUCAAUAACAAUGCCUCCAAAACUUGUAUAAAUAUUUUAUUUAUGUUUUUGGAUCUCAGGUCUAUGUUCAAAGAGUACAACACAAGACUCAGAGGGUCUACUGGAGAAGCCUCUCAGUCAAAUCACGCAUCAUCAUCUCAGCCUCCUCCAGAGUCGACAGAUCAAGGCCCGGAUAGAAUGGAGCUGGUGGUUGAAGAUUUCGGUUAUGAGCGGAUGGAUUAUGUUUACAAGGAGAUGGUUGCUGAAAAGGGAGAGGAUUCAAGGGACGAACUUGAAGUGUACUCGAAGGAGGCAGUUGAAACUCCUAAGCUCUUGCUUGGUGUGGAGUUUGACAUUCUCGCGUGGUGGAAGGUCCACAAGAUGAAGUAUCAUGUGCUUGCUGAAAUGGCAAGAGAUCUACUCGCCAUGCAAGUAUCUUCAGUGGCAUCUGAAAGUGCUUUUAGCACCAGUGGGAGGAUCUUGGAGCCAUAUCGGAGUUGCUUAACUCAUUACAUGAUAGAAGUUCUCAUGUGUACUGAGCAAUGGAUGCAUGCUGACAUCAAGGUGAGUGAACAAGUCACUACAAAUGAGCAAAUACUUGCUGAUGUGGAGUUGCUUGAUCGACUUCAGAAAGGUAUGUCUAUCUUUUCACUUAGUUUCUUUAUACUGUCUUAUGUGUAGUAUUUGUUUAUGCAAUGAGCUCCUUUCUUAUGCCUUGUUUUUAUGUUGUAGAGUUUCAAGCACAGACGCUUGAUGAUUGAAGCUUCAAGGUCGAAGCAUGAAGUGGAAGAAGGCGGGUGAAGGUGAAGCGGGUGAAGGUUGAAGCAUGGAGCUUCAAGUUUUCUGCAUUUGGUUUUUAUUUCUUUGAAAUUUCAAGUUUGAAUAAUGUUUCUUAUUUUGGUUUUAAGCAUUUCAUUAUUGCUUUGUUUGCAUUCUCUGAGUUGUUAAGUUUUUGACUCUUCUAUCAAUAAUAAAGGUGUUUUGGUUUUAUAUCAGUGUUGCCUUAGGGGUUAUGAGAAUUUUCAAUGCUUUAUUUCUCUGUGUUUUUUACUUACUUGCAGCACAAGUUACGAAAUUCUUUUGUACGGUAAUGGUUACUUUCACUACAAUUAGUACUUUUAAGAACCGAAAUACUAACCACACCCCGAACCGGAAAGUAUUCCGGGUUAUACCGGUUCCACGCCUGUCUACCAACCCCGACCCGAACCAUAUAGCCCCCGAACCGAUACCGAACCGAUCUUCAGUUUUAUCCGAAUGGGGCUUGUUUUUGUUAACCAAGAAAACCCGAACCCGAUUAGGAUGGAUCCGAAACCCGAAUGGUACACCGGUUGCCCAGCCCUAAUUUCAAAUCAAUAGCUAUAUUCUUAAUAUUGAUCUCAAAAUUGGUUAGUUGGCAAAUUAACCCUUAAUGUAGUCUAAGUAUUUUAUUUUAAUUUUAAUUUAAAUAUGAAUAAUAUUUUAAAUAAAUAAAUAAAUAAAUAUAUAUAUAUAUAUAUAUAUUCUAAAAAAAAUUUGGAUAAUUGAUCGAUAUCCAUUCAUCUUCUUUUUUUUUACUUUUACUCUUUAUAUAUCAAUACUAUUAAAAGGGAAGGAUUUUGAAAAAAUCUACCUAUGAAAAUUGUUUGGACCUAUUAUUUUUAAAUUUUUUUGGACUUACCAUGUAUAUUAUAACAAUAAUUGACAAUAUUUUUUACCCUAUAGACUCCCGAUUAUUACUCUAACCAUGCGAACUGUAUACAUUAUUAUUUAUACAUAACCACUAAAACCGAUUGCUAAACACUCUACCCAAACAAAAUACAUUACAUGAACCAAAACCAGAGCACAACCUAUUAUAACUGUUACGUUAACGAAAUAUUCAUUUUUCUCACAUAUUACCAUCGACUACAAAACACGUUACAUGUAAGACACUACACUACAUAGAAGCUUUAUACAAGAUUUGGGUGUAACAUUAUAUGAUUCAAACAUUAAAUUUCAUUAGUAAAAUAAUCUUCAAGAUUAUAUGAUUCAAACACUAAAUUUCAUAAUUAUGAAAAGCAAAACAAAAUCAAACUCGCGCUUUCAAGCGCGGGUCAAAAUCUAGUAUAAAUUAAAAUCCAUUUAAAUAUUUAUGUUUUUCUAUUUUGAUCUGGUGUCUUUUAGUUUAAUUCUUUUCAGUUUGGAUUAAUUCUUUGGUUUUGAAAUUAGCCUUUUAUUGUAGUUCAGUUUUGUUAUACGCGACCACGUAAAUGUUCAUUUCAUUUUGUAUCAAAUUUAAGAUUAACUAUCUGAUAUAAAUGUUUUUACAUGGUGUUGGUUACUCAUGUAUAUUAUUACUGUUGGACAUUUAGGCAAUUAGAAUAAUAUCAUAUGUGGCUCAUUUGAUAAUUUAAUAUUGUGUCGGCGAAUAUUUAUUUUAAUAUAUGUGAUAGUAUAUUAAAUAAAUUAUUUCUAUUUUGAUGUUAUAAUAUAAAUAAAUUCAUUCAAACUCUAUGACAAUUUUGUUCAUAUAUCUUGUAGUGGAAUGAGUGGAAUGAAUUUCUCUAUUAAUAAGAUAGAUAUUAGAUCCAGUUGUUAGGGACACCAUGUGUUUUUUACAAACAAAAUUUCAAAACUAUAAUUUGAAAAACAACACUACAGAAAUUUCACCCAAGACAUGUUUUAAUUUGUAGGGUUUCCUCAAUUCAAAAAAAAAAAAAGCAAAUCAUUGCUAAGUAAUUAAUACACCUACUAUUUUAGAUCUUGCGGUAAAAUUUGUGAUAGAUACAAUUUCCCCAACAACGAGAUCCACAAAUAAUAAAUGUGGUGUGUAAGAUUUGCCAUUUGUAUGUACCUAGAUAGUAAUUAAUGAAUACGAUUCAUUAUUUCUUGUUUUGUGAACAAGCAAAAAUGAAAUAAGCGCAUCCAUGUUAAGAUAUAGUAGUAUAAAGAAAAUAUGAGAUCAAAUUGUUGAUAAGCCAACCGUUAAUGAUACGUGGAGUAGUAUUUUGGUUGUGUAAUUAUUAGAUAAUGCAUGCCAAUCUCACUCAAUACACACUCCAAGUUGUCUUUUCUUUUGUCGCAUUUUUCAUUUUUGUUUUGUCAUAUUAGUAACUCAAAAUGUUAUGUUGCCCCUACAUAAGAUAACAUAUCAUUUUAUGAUCCCACGUCGAAAGAUAUCUGUGCAGUUGAACCUCCACCUCACAUAACACCGGCACACUUAUAAGUAUUUCUCUUUAAUCUUUCUCGCACAUUUCGGUAUUUUUCUGUAUCUUAUCUAUUAAAAUAGAAGUCAUGAUUUUUUUUCAUGCGUGACAUUUUUAAUUAAACCAUUAUUUAAAAAAUUAUCAAAUGUAUUUCUUUAAUGCGAAUAAUAUUUAAUAUUUUAACUACUUUAAUAAUAAUAUCUUUUAAUUUAAAAUGUCAAAAAAUCUGUUGAAAAUAAAAGAUUAUAACAAGAUUUUAAAUGUCAAAAACUGUAUAUAUAUAUCUUCACUAAUUUUGUAAUUAGUAAUAAAAUGUAAUUAUAUAUAUAUAUAUAUUCAGUUAUCUUUUAAAAUAAAAAAUUAUAUCAUAUUUUAUCUAUUUUAUAAUAAUAUCUAUCAUUUUAAAAUAAAACCUUUAUAUUUAAGUAAAUAUGAUAAAAUUAUUUUAAAUUGAUAAGUUAAUAUAUUUUAUUUUCAUAAAUAUAAAACAUCUAUGCUAAAAAAUAUAAUAUGUUGGUAGAAUGGGUUAACAUUAGUUAGCUAUAUAAUACAUUUAUAAAAAUUAGCCUAUCUUAAACUCUUAUAUAUACAAUAAUUUAUUAUCUUAAAUGAGUAAACAUAAGAAAAUUGCUAAAGGAAAUAUAUCGCUCUGAAUUACAGGGUAUGAUCAUAAUAAAUUAAAUACAAAAUAAUUUUUAAAUAUGUUAUUUCAUGAAUAAACAAUUGGUUUGAUAAUCAAACAUAAAUUCAAUACAGCAAAUAUAUAAUAAGAAGCAACAUACAUAUAUAUAUAUAUAUAUAUGUGUGAUGAUUUGAAAUAAUUAAUUAAUUUAUAUCAUGAAAACUAUAAAAUUAUUAUAUUUGAAAUAAUUAUAUAAACAUUUAAAUAUAUGAAUAACAUUAAAAAUAUAUACUAAUUAUAUAAAACAAAUAUCUAUAUAUAUAAAUGUAAAAAUAAAUAGUGCGGAUCAAAAUCUAGUGUUGAUUUAAAAUCUAACAACCUAAUUAUGUACGUGUGUGGUGUGUCCAUUAACGUAAACUAGCUCCAAAAAUAACAUACUUACCGGACGUAACUAUGUUUUAAUUAGUCAGCACAUUGUUGUUCUACAUUGCAAAUAUUGAUUCAUUUUAAGAUUAGUGUUUUGAAUGAUGUGUUAGUAGUAGAUUAACAGCAACAGCAGCAAAUUAAAACAACAACAAAUUACUAAAAUGGUCUGAAAUGUUAUUUUUUGUAAGUAACAAUUUAUAUAAAAAGUUAAUUAAAAUCUUUAUUAAUUUUACAGGAAACAGUAACCAAACAUUGUGAGUGUGGUACUUUUAACGUGCGAGUGAAGUUACAGACAAGUAAGAGCAGCAUCAUUAUCAUAGAAUCGCACUUUAAUAGCAUUUACUUUCUUUAAAUUAUUUUUACUAUAUAACUUUGUAUGUUAGUUUGGAACAUUUCGAACUCGUUCCUAUUUUUGUCUCGAUAUAGAGGAAAAAUUAACAAUUUUUAUUUUUUAUUCUAUAUCUAGAGUAAUGAUAUUACAGAAAAAUAUAUUAGAUCAAACUUCAUCUCUAUGAUGAAAUAUUUUAUUUUAGAGGAUAAAUAUCAAUAUACAUUAGAGAUGGUAUCUUUUGCUAUCACAUUCAUUUUAGUAUCUUUUUUUUUGGUUUCUAGAGUUUUUCUACAUAACCGAUAAGGCCAUAACAAUGUUUAUACUCAUUUUUGUCAGCUUAGCAAUUAACGUACGUAAGUAAACCAUAUCAUGACUAUACAUUUGAGCCUAACAAUAUACUUGAAGACUUGAACGAAAAGUUUUCAGAUUUUUGAACAAUAACAAACAAAAUAUCAACGUUUUCUACAAAAUUGAUCAUUACUUUAGAAACCAAAUAAUUUCACUUCCAUCACGUUUUUUUUUGGGGGGAGGGGGGUUUGCCCAAAAAAGAGAGAUGAAAGGAAAUCGAGAAAAGUAGAAAAGAGAGUAUUCCCGAGACAAAACCAAAGUUGGAAACAUCGCACCGGUGUCUUAUCAUUCAUAGGGACUGCUGCAUGCAAUCUCGAUGUCUGUUUAUACCAAUGCAAAAACAAGAUUCAACUUAAACAGCUGCUCUACUUUUGUGUGUGUGUUUUUUGCUUCCUCAAUUCAUCCAAGGAAGGAACAUAUGAGUCAUAAUGAAUUGUUUCAUCGUUUGUUCUAAAAUACGGCUUGUGUAUUUUUUUUUUAUCAAAGCAGUUUGUAUAUAUAUUAUUAUUAUAUCUUUAUAUGUAAGAAGUUAUAAUUUUCUUAGUCACACCAAUUCAUUGUUCUAUUAUCUACUGUAUAUUUAAAGUAGAUACAACCAAUAAACUUUUUUUACAAAAGAAUCUACGGUAUAGUUUCCAUAUACACAACUAGAUUUACUGCGCUAUCUCUAAUUCUCUAUACACGCUAUAUAUGUUGUCCAACCACUAAUUGUGUAACUAGAAGCAGUAGCGUUGGUGACAACUCAAUAACUUUAUAUUCUAUUUCGUAUUUUAUCAAAAAAAAAGCUGGAAAGGAAAGAAUGUUAAUAUCAUGUGGAUGUGGGCGCAAGAUUUGUGUGAGGUAACUUAGCAUUGUAUCGUGUGUAUGGAUCAGUCGAUCACAUGGCAAAGCACUAUACAUUUGUAACCGUUAGGGUAACGGUUAUUUGGAGUAGUUGGACACCCUUCAUUGUAUGGACUCAUUCUUCAAACUAUAUGUUAUGACUUAAGAAACAAUGAAGUUGCCAACAGUCUAAAAUAUAGAACUAAGGUGAGAAAUGUAUGCGAACAAAUAUAUUUUACGUUGUUAUCUUAAGUAAUUUAGAAAAGAUACAUGCUCAUUUACAACUAAAUCUUUUGAAUUUAAAAUCUCUGAAUGAUAUUAUAAUGUUUUUGUUUCAAAAUUAAAAUUUUAUUUUUAACAGUGUACUGGUUCUAAUUUUGAUUGGUUAUCUGUGGUUAACCACAGUUAAAUUUUCAUUAGUGGCUUAAUCUAUUUUUCACGGAUAACGUGAAUAGCAUAGACCUGUCUUUCAUCUGUCCCAAGUCAACGACUUGUGAUUCAGUGUUUAAUUUAGCAUUAGAAUAUACUACAACUUAAGAAUAACAAGGGAGUUGCAGCAAGUCGCAUUAUCUAGGAAAACAUUAUGUAAAAUAUAUUAUGACAUAUAUAAAAAAAAAUGGCGCAAUUUUCCUUCUGGCUUUUUUUUUAAGUAUGUACUUGAAUUGAGGCAUAUUAAUAAUACAUGGGCUAUCUUUUCUUUUCACAUCAAAUAUUAAUACUCCAAACGAAAACUUUCCUCUACUAUUUUUAAUUCUCAAAUGUGUUUCUUUUUCACUACUUUUUCUUCUUUUUCUUUUGUGAAAUCUUCAAAUAAGCUUUUGUGGUUGUACCCAAACUUUUUCGAAAUAUCCCACUUGCAAUAAGAUCUGCGGGACCUGAUAUAUUGUAUAGUGGCACUUUUGCAAACUUUGAUGGAAUAUAAAUUGUACACCAUCUUAUCAAAUAGUAUAUUUUGAAGACUUACACCUGCUCCUGUAUCACCUCAUCGAUCCAUAUUCAAAUUGUAUGUUGGUAAAAAUCCCAAGUGCACCCAAUAUCCAGGGCCAAUAUCAUAAGAGAUCUUGAAAACUCUACAUUUUUCUGUUAGCAUGUUCUAUAGAAUUUAUUUUAGCCAAGAUCAAUUCAAGCCCGUAUGUAAAAAACCUCCUCAUAUUGGUAGAGUUCCCGUAAGAUAUUGAGAUAUAGAGUUGAUGGAACCUCUUAUGAUUUCUCGUGAUCUAUAUAAGUGUUUUAUCUGGACCGAUGGGUCCAAUAAUUAAUUUAUAUAUAAACAACUGUAGUUGUGGGUUCGACGUGGUUAAAAUAUGAAAAUAGAAGAGCCAAAAGAAACAAGAAAAGCGUCUAGAAGCAGGGAGAAGUUCAAUUUAUUCAGACCCAAGUUUUGGUGAUCUUCCUACCUUGCAAUCAUAAUUAUUCCCUAAAGUUUUUUUCUUGCCUUUUUGUAACGAUAAUGAUUCCCUUAAGCUUAAUCAUUCACUUUAAUUAAUCUUUAAGAAUAUACUAUUGAGUUUAUUUCACGUUCCACCUUCAUCUUCCUGCUUUUGGUUGGUGGGGGUAAAAAUAAGAAAGAAAGAAACCCUCUUAACAACUAUUAUCUAUAAUGUUCAAUUUCCAUUUGAAGUUCUAUAGUAGUUGUUAUUGUCUCCAAUCUAAAGUUCGACAUUUUCUGUUCUUUUGAGUCAUGCAUAUUAUCACCGCAUGUGUCGUGUACAAAAAAGCAAGUUUAGCUUAUAUACGAUUUGGAAUCGUUUCAAACAGAUGUUCCGCCUGACAAAGAUAAUGUUCCAUCUUUCAAAGAUAUAUAUUUUGUACAUGUAGAUAUGGACAAAAUAUAACAGUUGAUUGGUGAUGGAAGUGUACGGUAAAGAAUUUUUGGCUUGUGACGUUAAUUAGGAGAACAAGCAUAACCAUAAGAGACUAGAACAUAUUGUGGUUCAAUAGUGAUUGCACUUCUGAUAUUUUGAAUAGUAUAUAGGAUAAAAAUAAAAUUAUAUUUUAGAUAUCUUAAAAUGCUCAAAUGUAAAAUUCUUGUUUUGUAUCGCAGAUUCAAGAGAACUGAAAUGUGUUUCUUUUCAAUUUAUUGAAACAGUAAAAAAAAAAGCACGAGCUGAUUAACUACGUUACUUAGACCAUCUCCAAUGUAUUUUGCUAUUUUCACCUCUAAAAUAGGGGAACUCUAUAAUAGAGGUGAGAUAUGCUCCAAUGUAUUCCCCUAAAAUAGCAAUCUCUAAAAUAUAGAGUAAAAAAUAGAGGAAUGCUAUUUCUUCCUCUAUAAAUAGAGAAAAAAAUAAAAAUCUCUAUUAUAGAGGAAGAAAUAGAGGUGGGUUGGAGCAAUUUCACCUCUAAAUGCUAUUAUAGAGGUGAAAAUAGCAAUGGGUUGGAGAUGCUCUUAGAGUGGUCUAACUUGGAGGCUUGGACCAUCCACGAAAGUGGUAAGAUUUACUAUAGAAUAACAAAUAGUAUAAUAUUGUAAUUUUAUUUAAAAGAAUUUCAAAGAGAAAGGGGGUCACUAAGACAACGAAGCAGAAGAUAUACAUGCGCUUGCGAAAAAUUAUGACAAUGAUUUGAGAAAAACACGCAAACUCUUUUCCAAGUCCUCUCUUCAAACAUGUCUCUUUGUCUUGGGCAUGUAACCAUUUAAUGGUAAGAUAAUAAUUUCCACCUGAAUCGUGAUUCUCAUCCGAAAGAAAAAGAGAGAUGAAACUACAGGAACACUCUAACGGAGCAUAAAUGUUUGACACAAAAGGAGAGAUGCUAUGCUUAACCUUAUAGAUUAACACAAGAAUCAUUUGACUUACACUACUACUACUCAACAAAACAAUGAAGUUAUUAUUAUUGUUAUGAUAACAAAUGCAUUUGCUAAUAUAUGCUUAGGCUUGGCUUGACUUUAACCAAACCAAAUCAUAAAUGUUCUCUUCUAAUGCUUCUCUUAUGUUUUCUCACCUAUUCUGAUACACUAUCACUUUCUUUUCUCCCUAUAUAUUAUAAAAUAUGUCUUCUUCCUUGUCCACAUGCUCAUGAAUCGCUGCUGCUGUAAUCUUCUGAUUCUCUGUCGUAAUUGUUGGCUGCUGCAUUAUUAUUAGCAGCAGGUACAUCAUCAUCUUCAGAGCUCUCACUCAUUUCUGCGACAUAUUCUCUUUGUACUUGCUCAACUCCGGCAACUUCUUCUUCUACAUCCUCCAUAGCCUCAUUUGGGUUACUAUUCCAAUCAAACCCCCACUUGUUUCUCUGACUAUAACUCACAAACUGACCCUCAUCAUCAUCAUCAUCCUCUGAUUGAACUCCAACACUGUUGUCGUCACUUUCACCAUCCACUUGCAUCGGCGUCAUCACUCUGUUAGGUGUUUCACUAGCCCAUUCCUCGUCCAUCUCUCUAGGGGUUUCACCUGCCCAAUCUUCAUCAAUGCCUCUGAAUGUUUGCUCUUCUUCCUCUUCCUCAUCUUCUUCGCUUGUAGGCUUAACAAUGUCAGCCAUUCUGCUGACUAAGCGGUAAUUGUCCUCAUCGUUCCUCUCUGGUCUUUUUCUAACCGUUCUCUUUCCUCUUCCAGGGACUUGAUGGUUCAACUCCACGCUCAUUAUGUUCCUGCUGGCUGCGACAUUGCUCCUACCAGCGACAAAUCUGCCAUUACCCCCUUGCACUUUAUUCUUCUUCGCCUUCUUGUUUGAUCCAGAUCCAAAGAUUACUCGUCGUUUAUUACUUUUUUUACCCGAGUUUGGAACAACCUCGUCUUGGUCUUCUUGCUCUUUGGGUCCUUUACCUUUCAGUAGAGAGUUUCCAGGGAAAAGGCUCUGCAUAUACCACAAAAAUUGAGUUAACAGAGAAACAAGUUUCACAAUUAUUAACAGAAUCCAAACGGUCUAAAGGACUUACAAUCUGCUCGUUCUCAUCUUCCGGGACUGGCUCAGGUUUCUCUGGCUUCACAUAAACAAUGGAUGCAUCAAGGUCUGAAAGUCUCAAAGCAACCGCUGAUACUGUCUUUGGUAUCCAUGGAAACACGUCCAUUGAUUCCUGAUCAUCAGCACCAGCAGCUCCCAAGAGCUCCUUUGCCGAUAAAAAAUUGGAUGACAAAGAUUCUUUCUUGAUUGCACUCUCUAAAUAAGUCAAGACCUGUCCAAAAAAGAAAGAAAGAUAACGAGUUUUUAAAAACAAAAAUGUAAUUGUAUAUUUGCAUUUUAGGGAAAGAAAAACAAGAUGUUAGUACCUGUGAAAGCUCUUCAGGUGAUGAUGAAGCAUUCAACUUAAGCCCCCAAUUUUUUCUUUUCUCCUCUGUCCAAAAUGAUUCAAAAGCUUCAUCCGGAACAGAUGCCUGUAGUCAAUAAAGUUGUCAAAAUUUGGUAUCAAAGAGCUGACUGUAGAUUAAAAAAUUGACAAGAGUUCAAUGAUGCUUUACCUCAAGAAAAACAAGUAGUGCUUUGAGUAACCUGACUCCAAAAGGAAGAGGAGAUGCAGUCAAACCUGAAUCUACUAUCUUUCUCUCUGAACCAUCAGCCAUGUCUAAUCUCUGGUGGCAAGAAAUGCAGUGCGUAUACUCAGAUAAAUAAGAAGCAAUACAAACUUCACAUGUUGCUAGUAGUUCACAUCUCUUCUUCCCGUCUUUCCUAGCACAAGAAGGCACUGAGCUGUACGUCUCGGUCCACAUCCAUCUCUGGAAAGCAUGGAACCGUUUUAAGAAAUUCUCCUUCUCCUUGUCAUCUCUCCCUAGCUCAACUCUAAUAGAAGUUGAGGCUCCCAUUGAAUCAGAACUUAACCCCAAUAUAGCACUAGAUGGGCUUACAGAAUCUUCCUUCAAAGAGGGGUUUCUAGCUAGGUUUAUAUUCUUAGAAGCAUUCUCUUUGAAUGCUCCCUCAAUCUUCUGCAGCAUUAUGCGUAAAUGGGACUCUCUGACCCCACGCAUAUCCAGUGAUGCAACCAGAGUGUCAAAAGCCUACACAGAACAAAAUUCACACACGUAAUGGUUAAAAAAUCUCUAUCAAUAAGCAACCAAAAACCUUAUAGCUACAAACUGUUUAAAGUUGUUGUUACCUCUGCUGAAUCAAUGAGGCGCCACUUGCUAUCAUGGAGCUCAACAAAUAUAAGCCCCGAGCAAGGAUCACUUUUAGAUGCUGAUGCAGCAAAGUGCCAGUAACGAUUGUGGCGUCUAUCUUGUCCAAGUGGCAAGGAUCGGUAUGGAUACACCUCUUCUGCUUUGUGGCUUAUGUAUGAUUUCAAUUGUGAGCGUGACCUCUUUGAAGAGAAGUUUUCUUGACUUAUAUUGCCCUCUUGGUUAACAGAACCUCUCUCAGUAGAUAACUUAUGAACAUCGUUUGAAACAACUUCCAGGGGCGGCUUCGUUUCAUCUACAAGUUGAGAAGGGUCUCUGUUGAAACUAUUAAUCUCACGGGUAGAGUUUUGAAUAUCAAACUUAAGUACAUCUCUCAUGCAGCUGUUAUCUAACUGUGCUUCUGCCCACAUUUGCUUUUUAAGAGAAUUUGCUGCUUCCAGACGAUCCUGCAAAAGAAAUUUCAGUCAGAUCACAAAUUACAGACUCAAAAGUUGAUAAAAUGAAAACCAGACUUUACCUCGAGACUAGCUCUGAUGGAAUUUCCUUCAUUGGCAAUGCCGACUAAAGCAACAAGGGCCUCAAGGCGCUCUUCGACACUUAGAUGACAGUAUUCUCCUUCUGUAAGACCUAGAACCCAUGAUUUACCCUGCUUGCUAUCUUCAACCACAGCAUUAUCUUUACGCUGCUCACUAUGGCAUUGUGGUACAAUGCUCUUCAUACUGCUUGUAGGUGGAGAAGAAACUCCCUUCUCAACCUCACUCUUUACAUCAGCUUUAACAUCAGAGAACAUAAUCUCACCUCCCUUUUCAGACAAACCAUUAGCAUCACCAAGAUCAGCACUUUUUGAGGCACUUGGUAGAGUGGCUAAAUCAUCAACCUCGGGAUCCUCAUCAAUAUCACAUUCAAAGUCUUCAUCCUUUUCAAGAUCAUUCACAUCUUCUGGACCUGCUAAGCCAUUUUCAAACGCCUUUAUUUUCUUCCUAGCUUCCGCGAGUAUUGCCUCUCCAUCCGCAGGAUCCUUCACGUAUGGAGCUCGUACACAAUAUGUUGAAGGGGCUAUUCUUUCGAAGAGCUUCACAUCUCUUGUCAAUGCAACAGAGAUGGAAGCCUCUGGCGUCUUGCUUGUUCUCAGGUCCCUAAGUCCAGAUUUCUGGAAAUGGAAAUCAUAAAAACUAAAUAAAUAAAACAUUUAUAUUUUUCAAUAAAAUUAACAGAGCAUAAUAUAGAUUAUAAAUAUACCUGAAUCUUGUCGGCAAGCUCUAUUACUGUCAGUCCCUUGCUUCCCUCAAGAGAGAGAACAUGAAAGGCAGCAAACUUGACAGUUCCAGGUGUCAACCGAUGCCUCGACUUGCGCGGAGCCAGCAACCCUUUCUCCAGCAUUGAUGCAAAAGCACUUUCAGAUGCUGAACCACUGCGAAGAGUAGAAAUGAUAUCUUCACAGCCUUUAGCCUGCAAAACACAAUCAAACUAUUACGAAAAAAAUCAAAAUCACCAGAUGCUGAACCACUGCGAAUAAGUACCUCAUCCUUUUCACCAGUAUGGGUCACACGGGAAUUACUUUUCUUGAGCCUAGGCCCAAAUCCACUUGAGAGUCCCAACUGGCGGAGUAUUUCAGGCCAUGUUAGUGGGUUCAAAUGCUUUUUCCAACUACGAAUGUCAAAGCCCCAUGCAUAAGCCUGAAGAAGAAAAAGGAAGCAUUAGGAAAGAGGAAGAGUAAUAUGUAUUAUACAUACAGAGAAAGAGAAAGUUACCCCUUCAACUAUCUGCGGAUGACCACCCUCAGGAUUGGCUGUAGUAUAUUGGUUAUUUCCAAUGCCACUAUAAGGUGUUCUAGCAACAUCUUCAAUAUCUCGUAUUAUUGAUCUCAGAAGAGUAAUAUGUAUCUCCCCCAGCAACCUUGAGUCCUACAAUAGGAUAUACAUAUAUGUAUCAUAUACAGAGCAAGAACAAUGGAACGAAGGAAACAACAGUAGAACACGAGAAAAUAAGGGAAUCUCAGAAUGAGUUGUAAAGAAAGACUUACAUAUUCAUGCAAAGCCUGAAUAAACUCAUCCAGGGUAAAAGGCCAUAGGUCGAGAACAUCGGAAAAUGAUAUUAGGAAUCUCCAAACCUAAAAAGCAACCACAAUGUUAGAAGGUUGACAUGCGAAAUGGUCACAAAACGUGACAAACAUUUCAACUGGUUCCAAAUUUGUCUCAUUGUUCUGAUCCAAAAUUAUUCUGAUGGUACUAAUUUCAGGUAAGAGACAGUAUAGGGCAGAAAGAAAAGAUCAAUAGAGCAUACCAUUAAAAGGUUUCCAACAUUUUCCUUGGAAUCCUUCCAUGGAGAAAUGGUAAACGGCAUUUUCAAUUGCAAAGCUUUUGGUGGAAAUGUGCUCAGAGAAUCUGAAAAAGUAGAAUAGCUACGAUGAAUUGCAAGAUCCAGAAAGAAUACUUAGCUAAUUGAGUAAGAUAUAAGCAAAUUACUUUGACCAUCUUGAUUUCGAUAAGUAUAUGGAGAAAGAUCGAAUGGUAUGAGACAUCAAAUCAUUAAGCUACUACCCAAUCUAGAGGGCAAUGUUUUUAUAGCAAAAUAAUCAACUCAAUAUUUCUUGGCAAUGUUCUAAGAUGCUACAACCAAUAUGGUAUAUCUGGGACAAUAUAAUUCAGAAGCUAUACAUUGUUCAUAUUUUGUAAAGCCUACAGCCUAAGUACACCAUCAGGGUUGUGAUUACCAAAUCCAGUACUUGGCUAAAUCAAUAUCAUAGUUUGGCAGAGAGAGCAUACCUCUAUACAGGUCAAGGUUUUGUAAUGUGUCAUGAUCAAGCUGUAUAACCGAGGACAAUCCUUUGCUACUAGCCGCCAAAUCCAUCAGCUCUAGCUGCUCAUCUUCAAUUAGAUCCAUAGCCUCUUUUGCAAUUCUACGUGCAGUUGCUUUCUCAACUGCAAUCUUGCGUCUUAUAGCCUCUUUCUCUCGGCGAAUCUCCUCUUUUUGCUUAUUUUUCUCCGCCUUUAACAUUCGGACAGAGAGAUAAGUCUAGUUUUCUCAAUCUCAGCAUACUUAAAAAGUUUAUAAUUUGCAGAACUUACCCGUUCAUUUUCUCUCUGUAGAAACUUUUCUCUUCUUUCCAUUUCACGUCGCUGUUCACGCUGUAACCUCUCCUCUUCUUUAAUUCUUUCACGCAUCAACCUCUCUUCUUCUUUACGCCUCUCACGCUCAUACCUUUCCAUCUCUUUUCUCAUCCGUUCUUCAUUCUGAGGACACAAGCUUCAGCUCAUCAAUAUGGCUUACAAGGGAUACCAAUAAAAAGACAAUAAGACCAUUCUAUAACUGAAGUGAAAUAAAUACCCUUUUCCUCUGAAGUUCUAGUUUCUCAAGAUCCUUUUGUCCACUCCCUCUUCCGAGUCUACCAUCGUUAAUCUGCGAGAGUAACCAAAGAACAACAUUACGACAAGAACACAUCUUGUACGCAAAACGGGGAUGAAAUGGAAGUUGGCACAGGAAGCUACCUUUCCCUUCCUAUGCACAUCAUUACUCAUACGCACCCCGUCAGACAACAAAUACGGAUCUUCAGCUCGGAGGCCUGAGGAGUCUCUCUCCAGCAAGAAGCUAUCACCACGAGCUGAUGGGAGAAUGGGGCUAGGCAUGUCUUGCUGAGAUGUAGAACAGUUACGAGAUGAGUUUCCAUAGGACUUUGGUAAAGGCCCAUUCCCCUGCAUAAACGAUGAACUCCUAGGCCGUGAUAUUUCGUAGUCCACACCACGCGAAUGACUUUCAGAGUACCGCCCGUACAUAUCAGGUGUAAAGGAAGACGGAUCGUUCAGAGAUUGUUGCUCAUGGAAAGCACUGGUGGCAGCUUGAGACUAUAAUAAUCAACAAAAGCAAAUAAGUUCAACAAAGUAGUUAUAAAAAAGAAUAUAAAAUGGCUUCAAUGUAAUCAACAAAGCGAAUAUCAUCUUUCUAACAUUUGAUCAGAGAAUAAUAGCCGCCAAAAGAUUAAUCGGUCAGCUUAUAUGCACUGAGAACUCUUAGAAUUAGUCCUACCAUUACAUCAGUUUAACAACCUCUUUAAUUUAUCAUGUAAAAUAUUUCAAGCUAGGCAUGAAGGUAAUAGCUAGGUUGUAUAUAGUUUUGUUGUAUUAUAUAACUCAAAAAAACAAAGGAAUUAUUAGAUAGUAAGGAAACUAACUCUUCGAGGACGGACAUCAAGUGGCUCAUACAUUUUGCUCUCAUAUGGAUGACCUUGGUGCGUCUGCAUUGCUACAAUAGUUUGUCCACCACCACAAAAAGAGAGAGAAAGUUAAGAGUAGGAACCAUCAAAGCAACAAGAGACCAAUGAUAUCGCAAUAGCUUCAUACCUAUAGGUGUCCCAAAAGCACCGGGAGGCAAAGGAUCAAACUCCAUUCCAAGAGUAGGUCCAUCAUCUCUCAAAGGCUCCCCUAACUGAGCUUCAAUGCAGGCAACAGCUCUACGAACCAUCACAGACGACCGUGGCGGCGGCUGUUCGUACCCUGCGCUCCCCAUUGUCUCGUACUCAGCACGAGAGUUACUACUACCACUCGCAAACUCCCUCCUGGGCUCCGAGUAAGGGCUGCAGCCAGAGCCAGAGCCAGAGCCAGAACCGGAAUCAGAUCCGGAGUCCAGUUCAGCAGCAGGUAAGGACAAAGCAGGAACAGCAGAAGCCGGUUGAACCGGGGCCGGUUUGGGAGUUUUCUUGACCUGACCAUCCUUCUUGUCCUUUAACCUCCUGUGACAAAACCACAUCUGUAACUGCCGAUCUGACAAAUCAAGCUUCUCAGACAGCUCAGCCCUCGUCGCCUCCGAGGGAUACGUUUCCUCUGCUCUCAAACAAAACAAUUCAGAUGGAAUCAAAAUUACAAAUUAGAUUUGGAUGAGGAGAGGAACCUGAAUAGACUUGCUCGAGGGUUUGGAGCUGAAAGGGAGUCUUCAUCUGACGCUUAGGCUUGGAGGAGGGAGAGUCCUUUGAAUUGGAAGCAUCAACGACCUUCUUCAUCUUCUUAUUCUUAUGGUUCGAAUCAGCUACGCUCCUCAUCUGAUUCUCUUCUCCAUCGGACUCCAUGAGAAAGAGAGAGAGACGGCCGCGCAAGGAACAAAUCACCCAAAAGAGAAGAACAACGAACAAUAACAAAAAGCUAAGCUAGGGCUUUCUUACAAAACAAAUAACCCUGAUCCCCUUUCGAUUGAGAUUACUAACUAGUAACCCCAAAACAAAAACAAAAACAUUAUUGUUGUAAAAAAAAUAAAUAAAUAAAAAGGUGGAUGGAAGGAAGGAAGGAAUAUAUAAGAAUGAACAAUAAUAAAAUCCGCAAGGGAAAAACAACAACAGGGCUCCUACUCGUACCACUCAUCUUUAAUUUCAACCUCCCUCUCUUAUAUUUCUUUUCUUUUUUUCACUCUCUCUCAAUUUUAAUCUUUUGUUUCUUAUAAGAAAAAUUGUUUUUUUUUUAUAAAUUAAAAGAAGGAAAAAAAAAAGGAGAGUAGAGUAGUAGAGAGAGUCGAGGGAUGAUAUAUGCUACAGCGAAUCGCGUGUGUUUCUUCUGCCGUUGAUUGUGUUUAUGAAGCUCCUUCAUGAUGCAAUCUUCAUCACUCUUUCGACUUUUUCCUUGUUUAUUCCUUUUUCUAUUUUUAUUUUAAUUUAAUAUAAUUUAUAUUCUUCAAAGGCUUUUACGGGCCUGGUGGUCUUGUCUUUCAGAUCCGCUCUCGCAGGUUGCAAGAGCUUUUCUUCUCCAGUUUCUUUGUCGCCCACUUGCGUUGAACAUAAACAUCAUGCCGUUCAGGUGAAAGAGCGUGAGAAGUUGAUUCAAGAUGCUGAAACUCAGAUCCUUGAUUUGCACUCUGCUUCUUAUAGUUUCGAGGUUGGAUUUGGUUAUAAUUUAGCUGAAAUGCAUUAGAAAAUGAAAAGGAUAUAUCUAUGACUAUGAGUUUAUAAACCCUUUGAAACAUAUGUACGGGUUUUAAUUAUGUUUCCUUGUCAUGAUAUAAGGUCUUUGUCUCUGUUUGGAAUCAGUUUCUUAGUUGAGAUUUAAUACUUUGAAAUCAGUUUAAUUGCUAACACUUGCUACUUGAUCACAGAGCGGUUUACCUUUGGUCCAGGAGAGGAUAAGCGAGUUGGAAGAAGAGGUCUGUUCAGCUACUCUCUUUUUUUUAGAUCAGCAACUUCAACUCCACUUAUAUAAAGAUUAAUUAACAGGGUUGGCAUUGCUAGGUUAAGCUCCUAUGGGCUGCCUUGAGAACAGCCAACUUUGACCUUCACGUUUUAGAGGAUAAGGCAAGAGAUGCUGAGCGUCAAGUUAAGGCCACAGCUUUCGAAGUUAAACAGGUGGUUUAUUCCCUUGUGUUUGACUUUUUACCCAUUCCUUUUAUACUUUAGGGGUGAGUCUUUUUGGUGCUGUGGUAGCAAAUGGAAUCUGAUUGAUUCUAAUAUGGUUAAUUGUAUCUCAAUGAUUUGUCAUGUUGUUACUGUGACAAAUUGCUUCAUUCUUUUUUUAAUCAUAUAUAGAUGACCGAAGUUGUUACGGAGCAGUGGAUUCAAGUUCAGCAUCUUGAGCAGGUCUUUUAAGUUACUGCUUUUAAGUUUUUCGUUUAUUGCAGGUGAAAAUAUAUUAGUGGUGAGCAAAGUAGUGUAUCGAUUCACAUCGCUGAUGUUACUUCUUUUUAUUUGUUUUUGUUGCGUCUUGAAGAUGAAAGAAUUCAAUAACCGAAGGAAUCACGUUCCUAGCAGAUGCACUCUCUUGAAGGUAAAAUCUUGAAUACAGUUCUCGGACUUGCAUGAAAUUUUGAAGAACAGAAGCUUAUACCUUUGUUUAGUCAUCUGAUUUAUCCUUUGUGUAUCUGUAUUUUUAGCUCAUGAGUGACAUCCGCUGGGAGGUAAAGAAUGCCCUGUCUCAGUUAAGAAGCCUCUGGGCAGCUGUUACCAAAUACCACCACCAGGUUUUGUUUUUAAAAAUCUUCGUCCUAUCCAUAAUUUAGAUGGAACGAUUAUGCUUAACCACGCUUUGCUUUGAUUCUUUGUAGUUGCAAGGCUUCAUCAAGCAUGAGAUGGAAAGAAACCAGAUCACAUCAGCUCUUGCAAACAGUGAAGUUGUGUUUUUUAUGGUAUGUGGGCUGUUCUUUUCAUAUCUAGUAAAUGUGUUAAGUCCAUGUCUUAUUCGUCUGAUCCUUACACUAAUUAGUAAAACGAAAUCUCCAGGCGUCUGCAUUGAUUACCUUCCCGGUGUUUGGAGCAUGGCUCUUAUUCUCUGCCUAGUUUUGUUCCUAGAAGACAUGAUCAACUCAAGCGUCAGCCAUUUUAACAUUGGUUUUACUUCUGUUUGUAGCUACAAAUAUUGUCUAGUCAUUGAGAUCCCUAUAGUCGGGUGAAUCUCUGGUUUGAACCAGUUAAUUUUAGGAAUGUUGCACAAUUUUGUCAAAGUUCAGUUUUUGGAGUAAGAAUAUUUUUAAUCCAAAAAGAGACAACCAAAGAGAUGCAGACAAAAUCAUUCCUCGCUCGUUGUUAGCUAGCUGUAAAUUGUAAAUAAGAAGCGUAAGGCUUUUCAGGGUUCAACGUGAAAUGAUUUCAACUACGUAGCGGUAUUAUCUGUGAGGAUUAGUCCAGGACCGGCCAAAAGAUAUAGAGGCUAUAAAUAUUGUAAGAGGAAUCUUAAUUAGACAAUCUACAAUUUAGGGAUCAUAUGACAUAUGUAUAGUAACGCUUUAAACCUUGGGGGCUAAAACACUGUUCUUGCAGAAUAUUAGGAAGAUUUGUUUGUUACUCAUGGUAAUUCCUGAGAAUGCUGAUUUUCACUAGUUAUGGUUUUUUUAGAUCCACAACAAGCCAUAAUUACGUUCAAUCUGCUCAAACUACCCACUUAUAGCCUCAAUUUAUCAUGUGGUUUACUGGGGUUGGUUGCGAUGAUAAGUACUAGAAAUUCUUUUUAGUAGAUUCGCUUUUGGAGUCAAUCCAAAUUUUGCUCAUUUAACUCUUUUUUUUUACCUACCAACAAUUAGUAGUGAAGUUAUUUUAGUCAAUUUCUCACUUCAGUUUUAGGGUCUGACUGGUUCAAACGCAGCGGUUGCGGUUGCGGCUGCGGGCGUUUGCGAAUGCGGAUGGUUGCGGUUUCUAGCGGUUUUAAAAGAUUUUCGCAACCGCCCGCAACCGCAAACGCUAUCUGGAACCAGCUUUUGAAUUUAAGAGGUUUGGAGCGGUUUGAAGCGAUUUGUAGCGGUUUGUAUGAUUGUUUCGAACCGCUGUCAACCGCUAUCAACCGCAAAAGCUGCGUUUGCGGGUGGUAGCGGGAAACCAGUCAAGCUCUUAAUCAGCUAUCAUAAGUUCAAGAUGGUUUACAUAUAUGAUAGGUUUAAGUUUUUGUUUGAUUUUGAACAUAAAAAAUUAAAAACAGAUAUAAUUAUUAAACAUAAAAAAUAAUGAUUAUGUAAUAUAGAGAUAUAAACCAUUAAAACACCAGAACUAUAUAGUCAUUUUGAAGGACUAGUUGAACUCAAUAGAUUAAUGAAAUUUAAAUAUAAUUAUUGUAGCAUGGAUAACAAGAUCUUAGUAUACCUUAAAUUUUAAACAAAAAAAAAAGUAUACCUUAAAUUGUAAUAUAUCAUAUGUUUUGAAGAGAAAAGAAAAAGAGAGGUUUGCUUGCUGCAUGGUCCUACACGGCUCGACUACUCCCACCACACGACCUCUUUUGUAUGUCCCAUUCCGUUAGUCACGCCACAUAAUCUCCACCUCCAACAUUUUCUUAGUCUUUGAUUGAUUAAUUGCAUUAACCAUGUUUUUCUUUUAUAUUUUCUAUUUUUCUCACCCAUUUGUUUUCUAUGUUAUUGCAGAUCUUCUUCUUUGUUUCCUUUUAUUAUACCCUUUUAAUAAUGAAUACUUCUUUAUUUUUUGAAAAAGGAUAAAGGUUAGGGACACUUUAUUCUUCCCAUUUAUAUACUUUUAGCUUUUUUGAGUGGUUUGUCUCUCAAUAAGUCUGAAAUCGAGAAAUACCUGCUCUCUCAUACUCAUCUCCGCAGACCACAAAUUAGUCAAUGCUGCUUGAAAUUGUUUAGUAACGUUUGUCUCUUUUCUCAUUUUCCGUUGACAAUCUCUUGUUUGUUUAUACAAAUUCCCAGUAUCCUAUCAUCCAUCUAAUUUCAAUAUUUGUAGAUAAAUGAUGUAUUAUCUACUUACAGCGAAACCUAACUAUUCAGAUGAAAAUUGGAAUUAUAUAUGAUUCUCUUUUAAAAGUUGCAUAUCUUAGAAGUGCAUAUCUAUGGAUGAUAAAAGGAUAGAAAUGAAGAAUUGUAGAGCCAAGAAAUUAAGUCACACACCCAAUAUAGAGACUAGAGAGUAUAGUGGCCUAGAGUCACAUGAUGUGUGUAUUGGUGUCUCCAUAGUGAUCAGUGGGAUGCCCCAAUCCCACUCACUCGCUCUCCCUCAAUCCUCGCAUUAUUCCUCGGCCUCUAAAUUAUCCCGCGUUGCUUCCUUUUCUUUUAUAUUGUUUCUUUCUCCUUUUCUUGGUAAAGUAAAAUCGCCAAAAAAUAAGCAAAGAUUUGUUUUGCGUGAUAUACUGAUAUAUAAAAACAAAAUUUUCAAAUUUAUGCAAUAUAAUUCAGUAUUUCGAUGAAAACCCCAAAUUUUAGAAACCCUAAGUUCAUUAUUUUGAUGCAUUAUUUGUCCUAAGUAAGGACCCAUACUUGUUGGUUUUAAUUCUAUUCUAUUUGUGUCACUGGGUAAAAAUAUUGAAGGCAGUCAAGUAACAAAGACCUUUAGAAUUUGUCAGAUAAAUCGAACAUUUUAAUUUUUUUAAGUGUCAAAAAAAUCCAAAAAAAAAAAGAGAAUCCGUUUUUUUUUUUACAAUUUCUGCAUUUAAAGAUUGAAUUAUUUGGCUUAUAUAUUCUUACCACCUAUCAAGAACAAAUUCAUAUACUUCAGAUGUAAAUGUAAUCGUGAAAAUGUUAAUCGGACCAAACCAUUAACUAUUCUUGUUUUUUUCAUUUCUAGACAGCAAGAAUGAUUAUGACUACGUGAUGAUAAAAUUACUGGUGCAUUUCAAAUCAGCUUUAUAUAUAAAUGUGGUUUUGUCUGACCAUCCGAAAUUUUAAUCAUAUAUAAUUUUGGGUUUGCUUGAAGAUAGGGAAAGUUGAUGACACCUUUAAAAAACAUAACUAUAAAGUAAUUUUACAUAAGAGAGCAUCUCUAGGUUGUCUAAUGAUCAACAUGACACUAUUAUGUCGAUUAAUUAAGGAGGCUGAAUUAGAGAGUAAAAUGUCCAUAAACAACACAAAAUUAUCUAGCUUUUCAAUGUUUACUCAAAAUACUGACAAAGACGUGUUCCUUUUAUCCUCUAUGAUUAUAAUUAAGAAAAUAAACAAUGUUGUUAGGAAUAACCAUGUGGACUGGCCUAGCUAGUGCCCAAAGAAUGAUAUGUAAUUUUGACAGUUUUCAUAUUACAUCUUAUGCCAGUAAAUUUGCUAUUAUAAUGAUAUGUAAUAUUUUACACAAAUAGAAAAAUUGGGUUUGAUGAAUCAUAAUAUUCUUAUGGUCUAAGAUUCAUCAUAUAAAUGGUAGUGACUUAUACGCUUUGAUUUUAAUUAUUGUCGAUGUCUGAGAUUUUUUAAAAUACUGGUGAAAUACUAUUUGCAUAAAGGGAAAAUUAUAAGAAUGUGUUUUACGUCAUAGAUAAAGAGUUGAUUGACUCAUCUCUUUUAUAUGUUAAUGCAAACACCAGUUUAAGUGUGAGGUUCCUAGCAAAUCAUAUUACAGAUGAAAUUCAAAGAAGAAGAUGAGAUAAAAUUAAACAAAAUUAUGUUCUAAUAAACGAGUAACCUUACCGCAAUUAGAUUAAUAAUAUAAGAAUAUGAAUAUUGAUACCAACCAAAACUAAUAUGAGGAGUUGAGUUUUGGUUAUAACUCCUCAGCUACUAAGAAACAAUGAUAUGAUGACAUGGGUGGAGUAAAACAAAAAAAGGGACAAGAGGUCCAUUGAUUUGAAUAUGCCUCUCUAUCUAGUAUCUACUCCUAAUCCAUAACUGCCUUCAACAAAACUACCAAAAUAAGAUCCAUGUUUUCAUCUCAACGAAAUUGGUCGACGUUAAAAACUAAGUGGUUGAUUACAUUUUAUCUUAUAAACUAAUCUUUUAGGUAAAAAAGCUGAGCUACCACUUUGAAAAAUCAUCUCAUCCUACUGGACCCACAAUCAACCAUUUUAGUCCCCAUUUGCACCUAACGACGUCAAAUUAAAAACACAAAAAAGUCCACAAUUCAUAAAGAAAAAAGAAGAAAAAAAAAAAACUCAAAGCGCUUCUUUCUAUAUAAGCACACUAGCUCUCAAUAAAUCCACACUAUCACAGUCUCUUCUCUUCUCCCUAUCACACUACACUACACAUCAUGGCUUUCUCCACUGGAAGCUCUCUCUUCGUCUGCUUCACAACACUUGUUCUUCUCUCCACUCAAAUCAAUGCAAGAGAGAGCUACUUCUUUGGCAAAUUCCACCGAGAAUCCCCCAAAGACCAAAACCCUAACAAUGUCCUCCCUCUCGAGACCAGCGAGAAAACCACAGUAGAAGAAUCUUUCCCCAGCAAGAAAGAGCAAGAACAAGAUCCCACGUUUGUCCCCGAGUCCGAAAACGGCUAUGGCUUGUAUGGUCACGAGACCACCUACAACAACAACAACAAAGAAGAGUUCAACAACAACAACAACAAGUACGAUGAAAACUUCAAGGAAGAGUUCAACAACAACAAGUACGACGAAAACGUCAAGGAAGAGUUCAACAACAACAAGUACGAUGAAAACGUUAAGGAAGAGUCAUUCUCUGAGAACAAUGAAGACAAGAGAGGUAUCUACAACUCCAACGCUUACGGAACGGAGCAAGAGCGUGAAACGCCGUACAAAGGUUACAGCCAUAACUUGGAGAGACAAGGCAUGAGUGACACAAGGUUCAUGGAGAAAGGUAACUACUACUAUGACCUUUACAACGACAGAAACCACGGCCAUUUCUACCGGAAGCCUCAUCAGAAAAGCCCUGCCGGUUACUAUUCUUCUCAGGAGACUGGGAAUAACUACGACCAGUCGUACAACAACUACAACAACGAGGAGGAGAAGAGCUUCAAGGAUCAGUACAAUUCCAAGUGGGAGAAGAACAUGAUGAACAAACAGCCUGAAGAGUUUGUUGAGGAGCAAGGAGACCAGUUCAAGCCUUGAUGAAGAAUUGAUGUUUGAUUUCCUCUCAAGAUCAUUACACUCUUAAAAAGUAUUUUCUUUUUAUUUCAACUAAGUUAUUUUACUUCUGGUUGAUUAGUCAAACUAAGUCGUUGUUAUCAUUGCAAGUGAAAAAGGGAAAGGGGGGUUUUGUGUUUUUUUUUUCUUUUAGUUGAAAUGGGUUUGCUUUUUAUGGGAUUUUGAACUUUGAUGUUUGCGUUUGCAUAUAAUAUUCGAAGAAAAGAUAGUAAAAUAUAUGGUGCUGCUUUAUGUUAUUUUCUUAUGUUAAUCACCUUUGGUUAUUUUGUUUAAAAAGAAGUUGAUUAAAGGACUAUGGAUUCAUAAUUUUAAAGGGACAAAACGUGACUGCUUUUCAUGAUUUAUAAUGGGGGACAUGGUGAUGCCCAUUCCCUCUUGCAGAAGUGCAAAAGAAACAUUAAUAAUUACUUGCACACCCAAUCCAAUAUUUAGUUUUAUGAAUACAUUUAUAUAGGAUUAAAAUCUACAUAUUAUAGAUACCAAAAAGAAUCGGUUUGUUCUGAAUGUUAGAUGGGAUGGGUACAUCAACAGUUAUCAACCGGUAUUAAUUACUGGUCCUAAGGGUGUAAAUGUGUAAUCCCAAAUCAUAGACAUACACUAUUGCAUUCGGCCUUUGUACUUACAUAACUUAGCUUUAACUGGAUACUUUGUCUUUUCUUUUUUGAACAAGACAUUGAAUACUUCGUUAGAAAUUAAAUAGGUAGUCCUUAAAUAUAGGAUGCGUUUUGGAUUAAUGGUGUUAUAUGGGUGGAAAAGACAACAGAAACGCCGUGACGAGUAAAAGACAAAGACACUUCAAAGGCACUUAGCAAUGAGAAUCCACCUCUUGACUAGGAAAAGAAGACUCCCAAUACCGUUAAUCACGGCUAACAUAAAGGACAAACUUAGUUCCCCUUUUUCUUUUUUUUUUCCAGGAUCUAUAUAUUUUACUCUAUUUUUUUUCUGAAUAUAUUAGUUGAUUUUUAACCAUAUCAAUAUGUAUGUUAGUAUAUAAAUCAAAUCCAAGAAUAUUGUAUACCAUAUAAUAAACUGUCUUGCUAUAAUUGUUUGCUACUAUAACUAUAUUUUAUUUACGUAUUCAUUCAAAUAUUAUUAAUUAAUCAUGAUAUCAAUUUGUAUUAAGAAAAUUGCAUUAGCUUCUAUUUAUUCUUUUUUAUAAAAAGAGCUUACUUCUACUUCUUUAUUAAUGAUAAAUAACUAACUAAAAGAAUGAUAUGACAUUUUUCUGCUAAUGGGUUUUAUAAUCGUACGAGAAAAAGGGAAUAUAUAACCCAUUUUUUACCUAAAUGUGUUACAAAAAAAAUUAAAAUUGCUGACAUAAGUUUCUUUCUGGGAUGUAAGAGAAACCUUAGAUGAAUCAUAGGUUUUGAGAAAACUUCUUAAACUAAUGCCAUUUGCAACACAAUUUAUUCGUAUAUAAAAUUACAUAAUGCUCAAUCCGUGAUGUAUUGGUCUAACUAUUGGCACCCUCAAGAAAGGCUUAUAGAUGUAACAUAGGCUUUGAACAUAUAAAAAAUUGGUAUAUAAAGAAAUUAAAAUUGUUUGAAGUAUUUGUGGACUUGGAAUAUCAUAACCUCCAUUAUAGAAUCUAAUAUAUUAAAACUGAAGUACAUUUGGAGAAUCACCCUUAUUUCAUCUUAGUAUUUAUCAACUUGUGCCACUGAAAUUUAAACCAUUAUUUGUUUAUUUUAUUAAAGACGUUUUUAAUUUUUAUCAAAAACAAUGAUUAGUUUGUUAUGCAAUUAAUACUCCAAUAUUAAUAAGACUUUCCCUAAAAGUAGACAAUCAGUUAAGAAAAAGAUCCCGUAAAUGAUACUAACAUUUAAUAGUUUAUAACCAUAAUUUACAUGCAACCGAUUUUAGAUAUUACCUUACACUUAUUCUCCAUUAGUGCAUCUCACGUAUGUAUCUACAUAAUAUAAACUUCUGAGGUAAAUCAAAUUGAUUGUAUUAUUCAUUAAAAAUAGAUCAUCAAUUAAUUGAAAUUAAUUAUCAUAUUUCACUCUUGCCAUCUAAUAUAAUCAAAUUUGUCGAUUGAAUAGCAUAUAUUAUGUAACACACCGUCUUUAUUCAUUCUGAUAGUUAGUGAUUUGUGUAUCAGUUAGAUUCUGUUAAAGGGCUCUGCUUGGUGGUUCGUUCGUUCACCUUCUUAUGUUUGGUUGCUCAAUAUAAAUCAUAGAAACAAAAAAAGAUCGUCAUAUCUCCUUACCUUUGAUAAUUUGUGUAUUUCCAAAUUCUAUUUACGCAUUGCAGAUAAUCUAAUUUGGGAUUUUGUAUUACUUUUACCAUUGAUUAUAUGCUAUUGCGAUGGACCUAAAUUCUUCACCCCAGCAUGAAGAAGACGAUAGUCCUUCUAUUAACAGACGCUUUGAACCCCAAGUUGAGUCUACUGUUAACAAAUAAUCUAACUAAACUGUAUUCGGAUAUUGUAAAUAUUUGGAUGGAAUUCGGAUUCAGAUCUUUCUGGGUCCAAAUAAAUUUGUAGAAACCUAAAAAUAGGAUAACUUAUGUGUUUAAAAUUUUCUUUAAACAAUUUAUAAAAAAUGUGAAAAUUAACAACCGCACAGACGUGCGGAUCAAGUUCUAGUUAUGUAAUUAAAUUGGAGAAGCUAUGAGUAACAUGAGGAAUUAGAAAUCUAAAUAAAAUGUUUGUAAUGAGAUUAGACAAAGAUCAUGUUCCAGAGUCAACAUGCAUUUAUUUGGAGUGAAAGGGCAUAUGAUUUCUCGUUGUGGACGAGAAAAAUGACUAGUUAAAAAGAUUGCGAGGUGGACGUUAGAAAAUUAAUCUGAAAAAAAAAAUUGAAUAUGGAUCUAGAGAAGUUUCUAUGGCAUGUUAAUAAUGGUUAUAAGAAAAGGAAAUUUUGCACUCCCAAUUGUUGGAUCAUUUGGAAUUCAAGCUAGAGAUUCGUUAGAUCAAGAAAUUGCAAAUGUUUUUUUAUAGGACAUAUACCAUUUAAUUUUUUAAGAAAUCCAAGCUAUCAUUGGUCCAAAAAACGACAUAUUUGGACCUGCACUUUUAUCUAGUGCGACGAUUCGUACCCGCACAUUAGAAGUUUAGAACUAUGCGCUUAUAUACUUUCACUAUGGUUUCAUCAAAUAUGCAUAUCUGAAAUAUAGAAAAGGUUGUUAAUUCAUAGCAAACAGUGUUAUCUACCUGUUACAGAUGAUGACUGGACUGUUGAGUCAGCAACGAGGAUAGAAAACAACAUUGUUUAAGAAUGGGUUUGUGGGCAAAAAAAAAUUAACCCUAAAUGACUUCGUUUUAGAUUAGAGCUUAAGAUAUCUGUUUCUUCUUCCUUUCUCUUCUCUGGCAGAGUCAAGGUUCAAAGUAAAAACUUUAGUUCUCUAAAAUACGAAGCUUUUACACACAAUCAUGAAUGAGGCUUAUAGGAAUCACAAUUUGAAAGAAAAAUAUUAGUUAUUGUAUCUAGGCUCUCUGAUUUCCCUUAAAAGGAAGUAAAUUCUAGAAUUAGAGUUUUCAAAAUUCAGAGGUUUUUCAGACAUUAUUUUUCAUCAGUUCCAUAAAUCCUAAUCAAUGACCCUUCUCCACACCUACAUGUACUUGGCAUCCCUCUGUCCUUUUCACAUUUGUGUCUCCAAUUUCCUGCAACAUUCAAAGAAUCAAAGGCAGAGCGGAAGAAAAUAAGAAAAGAAACUAACGAGAAUUUGGGCACUUUAACCUAUGAAUUAAUUUUUCAAUCGAUACAGAGGAGGAGUUUGGGUUUGAUGAAGAAGCUAUUGAUUUGCGGUCGAAAACCUAAAACCUUUGAGUCUGUCGCGGGGGAAGAGAAAGGAAGAAGAAACAGAAAUUUUAAGCUUUACUCUAAAAUAAAGCCGUCUUGAGUUAUUUUUCUUUUUGCCCACAAACCCAUUCUUAAACGACGUCGUUCUCUAACAACAACAACAAAGAAGAGUUCAACAACAACAACAACAAGUACGAUGAAAAAUUCAACGGUGAGACUUUCUCAACUCCAAGCCUGAGCGAGACCGAAGAGUCUUACAACAACUACGAGGAGAACUACCCGAAGAAGACCGAGAGCUACGACAACAACCGUUACAACAACGAAGAGUUCAACAACAAGUACGAUGAAAACUUCAAGGAAGAGUUCAACAACAACAAGUACGACGAAAACGUCAAGGAAGAGUUCAACAACAACAAGUACGACGAAAACUUCAAGGAAGAGUUCAACAACAACAAGUACGAUGAAAACGUCAAGGAAGAGUUCAACAACAACAAGUACGAUGAAAACGUUAAGGAAGAGUCAUUCUCUGAGAACAAUGAAGACAAGAGAGGUAUCUACAACUCCAACGCUUACGGAACGGAGCAAGAGCGUGAAACGCCGUACAAAGGUUACAGCCAUAACUUGGAGAGACAAGGCAUGAGUGACACAAGGUUCAUGGAGAAAGGUAACUACUACUAUGACCUUUACAACGACAGAAACCACGGCCAUUUCUACCGGAAGCCUCAUCAGAAAAGCCCUGCCGGUUACUAUUCUUCUCAGGAGACUGGGAAUAACUACGACCAGUCGUACAACAACUACAACAACGAGGAGGAGAAGAGCUUCAAGGAUCAGUACAAUUCCAAGUGGGAGAAGAACAUGAUGAACAAACAGCCUGAAGAGUUUGUUGAGGAGCAAGG
rnacentral:lncRNA from 1 species